UUCUCUGUUAAAUCGGAUGUCUACAGCUUUGGUGUCCUAAUUUUGGAAAUCAUAAGUGGUCAGAAAACUUAUAAUUUUCGAAAUGGGGAGAGUGGGGAUGACCUCAUAAGUUGUGUAAGUACAAAUAUGAUAAGGUUUGGUCUGAAUCAAUUUGAAGCCACCAAUGAUUAUAUUUAUUGUAUUUAAACAUUUCAAUUCUCAUAGGUUUGGAAAAAUUGGCACCAAGAAACGGUUGCAAAUAUAAUAGAUCCUGCAUUGAGGACUUCUUCAGGAUCCAUGCGUGAUAUUAUGAGAUGUAUUCACAUCGGUUUGUUAUGUGUUCAAGAAAAUGCAACGGAUAGACCUACAAUGGGAUCGGUGGUUCUCAUGCUCUCUAGCUUUUCCUUAACUCUGGCAGUACCUUCACGACCUGCAUUUUUCAUGUCAGGUAGCUUUCGUCCGGAAAUUUUAGCUCUUCAUAAGACUCAUUCAUCCACAGAUCAAUCAGAGAAUACCACUCAUUUAUCAACGAAUGAGGCCUCAAUGAGUGAGUUAUAUCCUAGGUAACUUCGAGGAAUAUGCAUAUCCAUUAUAACAAGACAUUUUUUUGUUACUCAUGUUCUUAUUCAAAUGUAAUAUCUUGUAAGCAGAUUUAUUCUCUUUACUUGAUCUUUAUUGGUAUGGUUUGUGGUAGUGAUAUUCCCCGUGUGUAUAACGCGAUAUCUACAUACUAUAUGAUUACUUCUAUUAUUAAAUAUUCUCUCAUAAGUUGAUAGUCUAGAAAUUGUUUGGCCUCGCGAGUAACUUAUUUACUCCUUUGUAUAAAUUUGUGUAAGCGAUGAUGCCUAAAAUUUGAAUGCUCAUGACUUGAAUAUAACUGCAUACGAUUUGAAUUUAUUUCAAUAUAUGAUGUCAAGAGUGUCAAUGAUCUUACAUUAUAAUUUUCAACAAGGGCCAGAAGAAUAUAUUCAUGUACCUUAUUUAUAUAUUCUACUACCAAAUUGGUUUUUUUUUUCGUCACGGUAAAUGAAUUUUAUAUUUUUGUGUAGCAUUACAAUUUUCCCCCCACAAUAAACAUUGAAGUAAACUGGCCAGUUUUGAAGAAUGAUUCAUAUUUUACUGAUCUUUCGACAUAAGGCAGAAAGUUGAUUGUUUGACUGAAUUGAGAACUCGAACAAGAAGUAAAAUUUGAAUUCCAGCAUAUAUAUAUAUAUAUGAGAAUGAACUAACUCUAAAAUAAAAUUUAAGGAUGCGUGAAAUGAACUCAGUAAAUCAAUUUAUAGGUGUGGUUGGAAAGAGAAAUAACUCCCCUGUUUCGUCUGUAAGCAUUCCCGUCCUAAUCAUAACCCAUCCUCAACUUUCAAUUCAUAAAUGUAGUGUGAAAUCUUGAAUUAUUUAAGUCAAUUAACCAAUCAAUCUUGGAAAAUUAGACUUAGAUUUUUUAGCCAAUCUAACUGCUUGAAUUCCAGUAGGCAAACCUAGAAGUAAUUAACGAGUUGUUUGACAAAGUUUUUCAGAAAAAUAAAAAUUAGCAUAUUUUGAGAACAGUUCAUAAAAUGUCUGAUUGAUAAGUUGAAAAAAAAAAUUGUGGAUGCAAUGAAAUAUGCGAUCAAAAUUGAAAUUUGAUGGUUUGAAAAGUCGAUAAAAGUUUAGGAAUGUGUUAUUAAACAUGCAAAACAUUAGACAUUUCAAGAAUACUUUUUAGUUUUGAGUAUGUCUUUUAAUUGAGCGUGAAAUCCCAUGCCAUUUAAAUAUAAAGUAAGACGAAGAACAUACAAAUAUUUGAGUUACACCUCUCGUUAAGAUUUGAUACUUAAAGAUGGAAUAUUAACACUCAAUAUGAUAUCAGAGUCCAGAAAAUUCAAAUGAGCAAUUCGAGUCCAAUAAGCGUUGCCCAACUUCUUACUACAAAAUCUUAUAUAGCAACCUUAUGUUCACAAGGACUUAUAUCCAACAAAUUGUAGAAGGAUGAUAAGGUGAGUUGCCAGUGUGGUGGUGGGGGUGAAUUCGGGAAAUAUAUUAUUUUUUACUGUAGUAAUUUCUGUAAGGUAAUGGUGGUGCCACAGCCAAUGACGAAAUUAAAAAUAUUUUUUCUGAGCCACAACACAAUUUCAUUUGUGGAGGUGGAGUUUUCUGUAAGGGCAUGACUAGUAGUUAUCUAUCUAUCAGUACGUAGUUUAUUUUAGGGUAAUUAGCACAAAACGUCCCUACCUUUCAUGAUUUUUUUGGAAAACGUCCCUACUUUUUGUUUUUUGGGGCAUUUUAUCCCUACCUUUACCUUUUCUUGUGCAAAACAUCAUUUUCAUCAUUUUUCUCAAUAAAAGGUAUAAAUUGACCAAUAUACCCUUCUAUUUAAAUUUUAAAAAAAAUAAUAAAGAACUAAUUGCAAUCAUAGUCCCAAUUUUCAAAAAAAGGCUUAAAAGAGUCCCAAACAAAAAUAAAUGAAUAUUUGCACUCCCACAAGAUCAUUCACAGAGAUUUGAAGCCGUCAAAUAUAUUAGUAAACAAUAAAAUUGAAGUGAAAAUUUCUGAUUUUGGAGUUAGUAAAAUCAUGCACCGGACAUUGGAUCCUUGCAAUUCCUAUGUUGGAACAUGCGCUUAUAUGAGCCCGGAAAGAUUCGACCUGGAUACAUACGGCGGCAAUUACAAGGGGUACGCCGAUGAUAUACGAAACUUAGGAUUGACUCUACUGGAAUUGUUCAUGGGCCAUUUUCCAUACUUGUCGGAGGGACAAAGACCUAACUGGGCUACACUUAUGUGUGCCAUAUGCUUUGGCGAACCAUCGAGCUUGUUGGAAAGUGCAUUGAAAAAUUUCAAGAAUUUCAUUCAAUGUUGUUCUCAGAAGAAUUCCUGUAAACGAUGGAUUGCAACCCAAUUGUUAUCACAUCCUUUUGUGAGAGAUAUUGGACUGAAAUCAACACGAGGAGAUUAAUUUUCGAGGAUUAUGGUUGGAAAUCCGAGGGUAACAGUUUGGGGAACUGUUUGUAUAUAUAAAAGCAUAGUUUUCGAGAUUCUAUUUCUUUAGUUUUAUCUGUAUGUUCUUUCCUUAAUUUUCGAGGAUUAUGUACUUUUUAUUUUUUUUUGUUUGGGACUCUUUUGAACUUUUUUUUUAAAAUUGGGACUAUGAUUGCAAUUAAUUCUUUAUUUUUUUUUAUUUUUUAAAUUUAAAUAGAAGGGUAUAUUGGUCAUUUUAUACCUUUUAUUGAGAAAAAUGAUGAAAAAGAUGUUUUCCACAAGAAGAUGUAAAGGUAGGGAUGAAAUGUGCCAAAAAAUGAAAGGUAGGGACGUUUUCCACAAAAAUCAUGAAAGACAGGGACGUUUUGUGCUAAUUAUCCUUUAUUUUAUCUUAGAGCCUGCUUGUCUCCCAUUAUGGGAGAAAUUAAAGUUUCUCGAGAAUGUGUGGUUAAAAUAUUAAAGAAUCUUUAUUGGUUUAUGUAUAGAAUAUUUUAUUGUGCGAAUGUCUGGUGGAGAAUGUUACUGUAGCAAAUAAUUUAAGAAGCAUAAAUUCACACAAUAAAAUAUUUUAUACCUAAAUUCAAAAUUUUUUUCAUCUUUUUAACCACAUAUUCUUCUAAAAAUAAUUAUUCAGAACAUUGUCUUUUCCCCCAAAUAGUGAUUGUCAAACAGGGCAUAAUGUAAGAUAGACAUCAGUUGCUAUGCAUAUGAGGACAUUAUAAGAAGCCAUGUCACAUAGUAAAACCAGGGCCUAGAUGAGAAAUUGGGCAACACUUGCUGGACACUUAUUGCAAAAUCUUAUAUAAAAUCUCAAUUUGUUAAAUUACUUGAAACAAUCUUAAGCAAAGCUAAGCUUCUCUCUUAGCAUUUCUUGUAUGCAUAUUCACUUGGUCAUUUUUCGACUCAAUAUUAUUAGGGAAAGUAAUGUCAAGUGACAUAUUUUCUAGCAAAAUUUGAUAAAGAAUGUUUUCCAUAAGAAUAUUUACACUUUAUUCCUACGCCCUCAAGGCUAGGGAUGGCAACGGGACGCGUCGUUACCCGUUUAAGACAGGGCAGGGCGGAUGGGGGGAGGAGAUUGUCUAGUUUACGUACCGUUUAUUAUUUUAUUUUAUUUUUAGUUUUUGAUAUUCAUUUUAUUACUCUCAUUCAUUCAAGUGAGGCAAUAAUAUAGUUAUUGAUUUUUUUAAUUAAUUUAUUUAUUUUUAAAAGUUAAAUUAUUCAAAUAUAUUUGGUAAACUAAGGUUUUUAUUAUUUAUCAUAUUCAUUAAAUAAUUUUAGUUGUUAUUUUCUAUUAGAAUUAAUGAAAUUUCAUAGAGCUUUUCUAUUUAAAGUAUUAAAUUCUUAAAAAAAAAAAAAAAAAAAAAUAACAUCGCGAGGCAAGGCCCCCGCUACCCGUACCCGACCUGUUUAUCCGAUUAAGCAGGUAAUCCCUUUCGCGGGUAUCAGGUUUGAUGAGUAUUUUUGCCAUCCCUACUCAAGGCCUACUCCAAAGUACAAAAAGAAACGAGAAGUAAAAAGUUCAAUCCCCCUUAUUAGAUGAUCGUGAGUGCAUUAGUGAUGUAGGCAAAAUCGAGAGAAUUGAAUAACACAAUAUUACAAUCUGUAGAUUCAUGCAUGAACAUCGAUUUGGAUUUAAAUAUGUAGAAACUCUUUUAUUUUUAUACAAUAUAUCCAACAACAAAGAAACAACUUAUGUCUUAGGAGUACUUGAGUAGUAAGAAAAUCUUCGAGACAUGAAACGCUACUAUGAUGCAAGACAAUACCAAUUAAAAUAAGAUGUAAAAUACAAACAACUAAAAUGUACUAAACAAUAAGGGAAGCCAUCUUUUUUGCUGAUCGUGGUGAUUCCAUCUUUCCGUCCCUAUCUUUGUGGCUGUAUUGUGGCAGAAUGGGUGGAUCUACAGUGUGGGCAGGGGGUUUGCUACCCCCACACUGAAUUUAAAAUCCAAUAUUUUGCACUAAAAUUUCCAAGAUUUAACAUAAUAUUUUUUUAAAAAAAAAUUCCAUAUAAUUUUCAAUUUUCAAAAUUCAAAUUUUGCGAAAUUUGCCCUCACAACUCUACUCUCCUCAUUUGGUAGCGCCACCUCUCUCAUCAAUCUUAUAUAAGAUACUGGCAGAGGUGCCCUACUCUAUCUUAUCCAAUCGGGGAUUUCUUAAAAUGAGCAUAAAAAAGACAAGAACUUUUUAAAUGCUUUUCAUAUGGCAAUGUUGUUUUUCUUCCAUUGGAAAGCCAUGAGAUAAGACAUCAUUUAUCCCCUAUCUUCAUUGCAUUCUAUUUUGAAAUCAUGAAGUUGCCCAUUUCUUUCUUUCACUUAGCAGUUGUGCUAGAGGUUGGUGCCGUUGGGUGCACGGAAAUGUAAACAAAAAACAAAACAUGACUCAACAUGAUACGUGAAAAUAUUAUUUCUGAAAAAAGUAAGAAAAAGAAACACUACAUAACAUUGUAUGAAAAAAAUACUUAUGUAUUUUUAUGAAUAUAAUAUUUAAUUUUAAAAAACUAUUUAAUAAUAAUACAAAAUUUGUUCUUGAUUGCUUGUUCCCCGACUUUGAAUCAUAAUGGAAGUGUUGGGUUUUGAUACUCAAUGCAUCUCGGGCUAUAAUGUAAACAUCAAAAUAUAAUUUCACAGGCAUUUGCCAAUGUGAAUUGAUUAUCAACAAUCAAGUCCAAAGGCUCAACCCAAAAACAACAUGGACCAUUGGAAAUAGUUUAAGAAAUUAAUGUUACUCACUGCUCAUAUAUAUUAUUUGUUGGAUGGCAUUGAAUCUUGACCUAUUUAACCUUAUUAUUGGUCUAACUAAAGCCUAAACUAACCCUAUAUAUAUGUUGUUUCUACUCUAGUCGUUAGUGAGUGAUUUUAUGAGAAACGAGUAUGAAAAUGUGGCUACUCUUACUGUCAAAAAAUCAACUACUUUCGUGCGACAAAAAUUCGACGACUUUCACUUUUGUUUUAGCCUCCAUCUCAUGUUUCUUCCAUUGUUUUUCUCGUGUCUUUGUGGCUUACAAACCAUCACCAUAAUCUUGACCUUUGUAGGUGAGAUUGAGAAGCAAUCGAGAUAAAUAUAUUGAUUGCAGGUUGGAGCCAUUUGGAUUAAUUGUUUAAUAGAGAAAGGUAAUGUGAAAUUGAGCCUAAAAAUAUAGUUUAGAAAAUUCUUGGAGCAAACUUUCACGAUAAUUAGUAUCAUAGUUUCAAGGUGGCAGAUUUGGCUAGAAAAGCUCACCAAAAACUGACUAGAAAAUCAGUUGAAACGAAGUAGAAAACACAUUACAAAUCUAUCCAUAACAAAUGCCCGAGAAUUGAGAAUCGCUCAUGUAAUUGCGAUUUUCAGCCAACCCAAUGGCCAAUUGGACUAAUGAAGAUCAUUGACAGACCGCACAGGUCGAGGUACCCUUACAUAUUUGGUAUGGAAGUGACGUUCGUCGACGAUAGUGACAUGUGGAGUUUUGAUAGAGGCACGUGCAGGAGCGAGGAAAGGAUUACGACAAUGGUGUCUGAAAACAGCUUGUUCAUAGAGGUGUGCUGGACCCUGUAGUGGUGUUCGAUUUCUAUUUUGGGCAAAAUUAUAACUCUAAAUGGUUUUACCCCCUUACGCGUUCGAGUUCAUUUUUUGUUUAAUUGGUUGCUGCAGUUGUUGGAGACUUUAGGGCGAAUAGUGGUGGUCGUAAAGUGGUAAAUUUACAUCUAUCAUUAUUUUUGUACUCAGAUCGGUCCGCUCUAGUAUAUUAGCUUACCCUAAUUUAAAUUUCAUUAUUUAGCACAUCAUCGUGUGGGAUGGCAAUAGGAUUGGGGUUACCAUGUGGGAUAAUCAUUGCUUGUGCUAGAAAUUUAUGAAUUAUUUGCCAUAUUAGAAGUGUUGAAUUUAUGCAAGUUGGUAAUUACCUUUGUGCUUCAAUUGUCGUUUAGUCACUUUGUUAGACUGCAUUGUAUGAGAAUUUGAAUUUUUUUUGAUACACCUCAGUGUUCCAUUGAUUAUUCUAUUAGAACACAUUGACUUGAGCCGUUUGAACAUUCUUUUGAUAUUGAGUUUUAGAGUCUAACGAAACCCUUGGAUUCUAGAAUAGUGUAUACUGCGAUCUUAGGAUUGUUUUCUGUGGCUUAUUUGUGCACUUUAGUUGUUCUACCUUACAAAAAUAUCUUCUCAUUUCAAAGUUAGAAUUUUGAAUGCAAAGUGGGAUUUUUCAAUUUGGCAACAAAAGAUGGAAGAGAUUUUAGUUAAACAAAGAGUUACAAAAGCUAUAUAUAGCAAAUUUCCUGCAAAUUUGAUAGACGCACAAAAGGAAUAAUAUGAUGAACUUGCUCAAACUUCAAUUAUUUUGCACAAUGUUUUGAGAAAAUUUCAAAAACUUGAUUCAACAAAAGAACUUUGGAAAAAGUUGGAGAACUUAUAUUUAUUUAAGUCUACUUCUAAUAAACUGUAUUUGCUUAAAGUAGUGAUUCGAGUAGUGACUCAAGUGAUGAGGGUAGUAAGAAGAAGUGUAAGGGACGAGACAAGUCUAGUGGCAAAAUGUGUUGUAGUUGUGGUAAGUUGGGACACUUCAUUAGAGAUUGUCCCAAGAAGAAGGAUAAGCUGAACGGUAAGAUGAGAGGUGAGGCAAAUUUGGCUUUAGGGUCGAGUGAUGAUCCUAGUGACGUUUAUUGAGAGUAAACCUAGUUACUACUUAUGUAUUUAUGUGUGAUUCUUUUUGCAUGUAUGUGAUUACCUAAUUUGUUGCAUGACGGUAUGCUGUAUUUCAAUAUGUUUGAUAUGUGCUUUUCAUGAAUUUUGGGCAAUAUGAUUACUUGGUGUAAUUGUUUGCAUGCAUAGUGGGUUAGGAUGCAUUAGCAGUGUGUUGGAUAUCUUUUAGUGAGGUGGAGUAUAGAUGCCUAGGGGUAUAUUGUGGUUUGUAUCGGGGAUGUGUAAUGUGACAUUUGGAUAACGAGUGGAGAUGUGAUUAAAUGUCUAGAAUCCUUUAUCAAUAAAGGAAUCCUGAUCAAGUGGAGUGUGGGAGAGGUAAUUCUAUUACUUCUGUUAGGUAGAGACCUAUUAUCCACAUAGUUUUGGAGAAGUGAUGUGGAGAUAGAAGAUUAUCCCGUGAACUUAAGAUCUAUUAUGACCCACCAGUUGGACAUGAGUUGGGUGAUCAGUCUAAUAAGCAUUAUGGGCGAUAAUAGGAGAUAUGUGUUCUCAAGGUGUGAGCAACACGAAAUAGGAUAGGAUAAAUGUGGUGAGAUUUUUACGUAGGGUCAUUUAUACAUUUGUUACAUAUAUAGUUGAUCGUGUGUUUGAUUAACUUGGUAUUAAUCUGUGGUUAUAUAUGAACGUGUUUCUAAAAAGAUCUAUGUAUGAUAUCCUAUAAUAUAUCAUCGCAUGUGUAUUUACUUUUGAUUGUUUACUAUUCAAUAAUUUGCUUCUAUUUAGGUUUUCAUGACCUUAGCCCUGAUGAGUACAUAGAGCAUGUAUGAUAUGUGUUUUAGGUUAGAAACACGAGGUAAGAUCUGUGAUCCAAUUUUAUUGGUUACCUUGAUUAUGCAAGUGCUAACUGUGUGUUUUGAUUGCUUACAAAUUUAUUGGAUAUCAAGGUGGAGAUUUGUUGGGUUUUUUGAUACCCAAGAAAUUCUGGGCUAUGAUGUUAACGUGGGUUAAUAAUUUCAUAGGCAUAGGCCGAUGAAUGAAAUAAGUCCAACAACUAAGUCCACGAACUAUACCCGGUCCAAUUGUAUUCACUCUUGGAUGACUUGAAUAUUGGCUCGUUUAAGCCCCUUAAAGGUCCAACUUAAAGCCUAACCCUAGCCACUUUCUUAUAUGAUAUAUGUGGUUUUGUGAGAAAAAUAGAGGAAUCCCGCCUGCCCCCUUUGGUGUGUGAAAAAUAGCCUCUAAAAGUGUCCAAAACCCUUGUUUACUUUGUGUAAUUGGUGAUUCCUUCAUAAUAUACCUUUGUGGUAUCUUCUCCUAUCUUUGUGGCCACAAAUCAUCAUUUUUUCUUGUUCUACGUGAGUAAGAUUGAAUAGCAAUCGAAGUAAAUUAUAUUGAUUGUGGUUUGGAGCCGGUUGGAUUGGUUGUUGGUAGAGAAAUAUACAUUGGGCUGAACCCGAAAAACAUGGAAUUGAAGAUCCUUGGAGAGAGUUUCCGCAACACACUUAUGAGUCAAUUGGAAUCGGUUGAUAUCUUAUUUGACGAUGCAAAGCAUUGGCACUAUUAUCAAGUCUUCCAAAGAGCUGAAAUCCUUUGGUUGUUGCAAUAAGCAAUUUUACGAGGUCAAUAGAGUUGAAACCAAAUCAUGCUGUAGAUUUGGUUCUUAGAGAAGAUAUUCACAAAAAAAAGAUAGUGGAGAAACCUUGGGCUUGGCGUUAGCAUGUGAUGAUAGAGGUAAAAAGACAAAUAGAGGCAGUAACCAUAGGCGAAACACAAGUUAAGAAAUGGUCGAUCACUAUCUCGACCAAAGUUCAAAGGUAAGUGCUUGAACUGUGGAAAAUCUGGUUACACAAAGCAAGAUUAUGGAGCACCAAAGAAGCAAGAAAACAACCAAGGAGAUAAAAACUUUGUUAAUGUUUCGGAUGUUGAAAAUUAAUGCAUUGUUGCUAGCUGUGGAUGCUCAUGAAGAAACAUGGGUAAUUGAUUCCGAUGCGUUGUUUCAUGCUACUUCGCUCAAGGAGCUACUCCAUAACUAUGUGCCAAGCAACCUCGACAAGGUAUAUCUUGGAAAUUAUGAGAUUUUCAACAUAGUUGGCAAAGGUGAUGUUCAGAUAAAUCAACCUAGGGGAACCGUUCUAAGAAUCAAGGAUGUAAGAGAUAUGCUAUGUUUACAAUAGAAUCUAAUUUUAGUAGGUCAAAUUACUGACUACGAUAUUACAACCACAUUUGUUGGUAACACUUGGAAGAUGACCAAAGGAGCUAUGGUGGUAGCUCAAGACACACAGCCGGGUUGUGCGGGUCCCUUUCCCUGGUAGGUCCGAUUGGAUGAAUAUCUCGUGCCGAGGUAUGAAACUACUAGGGGAUAUCUCACUACGGUGGAAAAGGCUGCUAUAGUUCGAGAACGCGGAGGUGAUGAGCCGGGACUUUGUUAUUGCAGUUGUCCUUGGUUCCCCAGGUACUCGGGAGGAGACCUCCAUGGCAAAUAUGAACGCUGCGGCUACCAACCCAGCAACGCUACACUGACAUUAUAAAAUACAAAUUGAGACAGAACUAAUCAGUAUUGAUUUUUUCAAUCAAAAAAUCCUUCUCAAUUUCUAUUAUAACAAAAUAGAAAUCGAAUGGAUUCGGUCUUAUACAUACGCGAGGAAGGUAAUCAAAAAAGAAAGAAGAUGCAAAAAGGAAGAUACUCUAUAUGUUACUUCUAGUACUCAUGGAUCCAUUGCCAUUACAUCAUCAGAAGUCUAGACUAGCACGUUGCAUCGUAGACUUAGACAUAUGAGCGAGAAAGAGAUGAAAGUUCUGAUGUCAAAGGGAAAACUGCCAGGUUUAAAGUCUCUAGAUUUGGAUUUCUGUGAAGAUUGCAUCUUCGGAAAGCAGAAAAAGGUUAAUUUCACAAAAGCUCAAAGAACAUGCAAGUCAGAACAAUUGGAGUUGGUGCACAUAGAUGUAUGGAACCAUCUCAGGUAGCAUCUCUUGGUGGCUUUCGCUACUGUGUUACUUUUAUCGUUGAUGCUACUAAGAAGCUAUGGGGUUACUUUAUGAAGAACAAAUUUGAUUUAUUUGAUGUCGUCAAGAAAUGAAAAGUCCUAGUUGAGAAUGAGACGAGUUCAAAAUUGAAAUGUCUCAAGUCAAACAAUAGAGGAAAGUACAUAGAUGGUCGAAUGAAGAAAUAUUAUACAGAAAAUGGAAUUCGACAAGUACCGAUAGAAUGGCAUUGCAGAACGCAUUAACAAAACAAUCCUAUAAUGUGCUAGAAGUAUGAGGAUUAAUUCUAGUUUACCAAAGCAGUAUUUGGGCAGAUGCAGUAAGCACGGCUGCUUACCUAAUCAUUAGAGGUUCUUCGGUUCUCUGGAAUUACGGAAUCCCAGAGGGGGCAUGGAUGGGAAAAGAGGUGAACUUAUUGCGUUUAAGAAUAUUUGAUUAUUAUUUGAGAAAGAUGGAGAGUUUGAAAUACUUUGUAUCUCCUAUUUGAAACUCAUCUUCUAAUCAUCUAUUCCUAUUUCAUAGUAAACUCGCAUUAUUUAUCGAGCGAAAAAUUUAUCCAAGUUUUGCUAUUUUCAUUAUUGUUCACGAAAUAUUUCUUUCGAUUUAAAUUACCGCAAGUGUACAGGUCGUGACAAGUAAUAAAGUGGACUUUAGAAAUCCGAGUAUCGUCCCACAGAGAAAGAGUAGUUCAAUUUUAUUUAUUUUAACCUUAACCGAAACUAAUUGACUUAAGAUGAAUUUUAGAAUUAAAAGCCCUAAUUUUGGAAGAAAUCCCCAAAUUGAAGAACCCUAAUUUUAAAUUAAACCCUAAUUACUCAAAUUCACUUAACGAAUGACUUAAUUACGAAACGUUAUGAAAAUAAAUGAAAUGUAUUGUCAAUUUAUGAAAAUCUAUGUAAAACGAAUGCACUAGGAUCACGAAUCCCCAAAUAAUUAUUAAGUAAACCCUAAUUUCACAAUUUUGAUAAUCCAAUGAGAAUUUGACAAAUCAAUGCUCCUAAAUCUAUUCAAUAUUCUCUCUCAAGAUAUAUUGAACAUAUUCUCAUAAAUCACUAGCCUAUAUUUCUAUGACGGAUGCAAUUAUAUAAGAACGCAUGUAUUUUUUUUUGUGAGCAAUUAAAGAUUUACAUAGGGUAUAGGGGUAUAUUUCUAUCCCCUAUCGGACCCUGUGAUGAAUUAUAUAUGUCGAGUUUAAUCCAAUUUUCUCAAAUUCAGAAUUAAACUACCAAAUUCACACAAAUUAAGUGCACAUUAAUUGUGGAAACAAAUAAAUCAAUAUAAUUCAUUCAAAUAAUCCCAUCUAACUAUGAAUUCAAAGUCAUAAAAUAACAGGUUUAAUAAUAAUUACAUGGUUCAUCGAUCACUAGUUACAGAAAUCUAGCCUAUCAUGAUAAAAAUAACGAAAUCUAUCAAAUUUUGAAUAAAAUACAUCACCGGGUUAUCAAAACUUAAAGAAAUCCUCAAGAAAUCUUGUAAAUCUUCGCGUCAAUCCUUGUUCUUGCCUUGAAAUCCUCUCCAAAAUGAAUGUUUUUGCCUCCCAAUUCGUUCCUCCCAGCUUCUGGACGCUUAUUUGCUAUUUAAGGAAACUGCAAAAAUCGGGCACAGAUUACACCUAUGUGACCGCAUAGGCAUAACCUAUGCGACCGCAAAGGUAUAUGGAUUUUGGCGUUUUUAAUCCCUAGAGGGUUACUCGCGACUGCAUAGCUUUUCUACUAUGCGACCGCAUAGUAGAGUGAACUUCCAAAUUGAGUCAUUUUAAUCAUCUCCUUGACCUCCUCUCUUGUUUCUAGUUGCUCCAAUGUUCCAUUAUAACUUCCAAUUGUUGCUUAGCCUGAUCAGUUGCUUGAUGUGUUCAUCGGAUCAACUUUCAGAUAAUUGCAAUUUGGUCUCUGAAUUUUCAUUUUGCUCCAAUUUGGUCCUUUUUCGGCUAUUUUCUCCUGAAUUCCACUAUUUCCAUAGAAUCACCUACAUUGCAUGAAUUCAACAAAAUUAAGUCACAAUUCAAUCAUUUUACUUGUAUUUAAGUCAUGUUUGUGAUGUAAAUAAGUGUGUAAAAACAUACUUAUCAAACCCCCCAAACUUGAACUAUUGUUUGUCCUCAAACAAGAUAGUGAUAUAAUUCUGAACAAACAUGGCUUAACACCUUGCCUUGACUCAAGAUUGGACUAAGUAAUUGAUUUUAUGAAAAUUUAUCAGUGCAAAAUGACAUCAACCUUUACUUGUUAAGUGCAUACUUGACAUGUGUGUGUGGAUUCUUGCUAACAUAUCAAGUUCAUGAUGAGUUUAAGUCCCGGUCCCAAGUGGUCAAAUGUCUCCUUACUCGCUCGAGAGAUACACAACCCCCCAAACUUAUUCUUUUCACUCAAUUAUCCCUAGGUUGUGUUUUAAAAAUUAUGAGUUUACCUAACUAUAGUUCUCACCCUCUCGUAGUUUGGAUUAAUCUCACUAUCACAAGUUCACAUGUCAACAAGUGAAGGCUCUCCUAGUUUUGAUUGCUUCGACACUCAAGAUUAAACUAGGUUACUUGCCUCGCCGCAAAGGUAUAGUUUCUUCCACCAAAUGUCCAAGGGUUUUUCUUCUUGUUAUUGUCUCUUUUUGUUUUUCUCACUUUUCUCUGGUUUUCUGAUUAUUUUAUUUUAUUUUAUUUUUUUUUCAAGUUUUUUAUUUUUUUUAUUUUUUUUAUUAUCUUCUUAUUUGCUUUUUAUAUAACCCAUGUAACGAGCUUUAGGCCAGUGACUCCCAAACCAGUUGGCUUUAGGGCACCAGGUUUUAAACCCUUGCAAGCUUAUUCACCCGAGUUAUAAAGGUUUGAUCAGAUGACUUUUUAUUAACCUCUUUACCUCUUGCUUUCUAUAUGACCCAUGUAUCGAGUUUUGGGCCCGUGACUCCCAGAUCAGUUGACCUUAGGGCACCAGAUUUUGAGAUAUCCUUACAGGUUUACUUGCUCGAGUCAUAAAGGCAUGAAAAGAAAUGUCUUAUUCUCACAAAUUAAGUUUAUGCCCUUAUUUUUCUAGACAUCUAGUAUCCAACACCAACCCUCAAUUUAAGAUUUUCACCUACUCUUCAUCCCACUGGUGUAGGCAAUCCACACAAUAAUUCAUGCACGGAGCCUCACUUAUCUCAAUGUUCUCCUAUAAUAGCUCAACUAUCACCAAACUGUCUUAAGGUAGUUUACGGGUUAAUUCAAUAGAGGGUUAUAAUUAUUUUCUUACUUUAUGCUCAAAACCCCAAUCACUUACCUAACAUGUAAAGCAUGAAUGGCGUGCAUAAAGAAUGUCAAGUAUUACAUCAGCAAGUAUUAGUUGGCCUAAUUAACACCGACUCCAAAGUUUUGAAAUAUACCAAUCCAAUAGUAACAUCAUAGUCGGCAAGGCGAUUAAGCUCACACAAGCAUACAUAAGCAUAAUCAAUAUUCACUCACAAGCAUGCAUCAUGCAACAAUUAGUCAAAUUAAAUCUGGAUUGUGGAAAUGCAAUUAAUUACAUGCCGAAUGUCUUUUUCAAAUUAUGCCACCAUCCUCCAAACUUAUACAAGACAUUGUCCUCAAUGUGAAAAUUAAAGUUUAGAUGGCAGAAUUUAAAGAAAAUGAGUACAAAUGAGGCAAACGAGACUCCCCUGAUCAAUACGGGGGCUGCGAUGAGAAGCUAGAACCUGCAGUACCAUCAGCUAGAGGUGGAGGUAGGGGCGCCAAGAUCUCUCUCAUCAGUGCUGACUGCUGUGUCAUUUCAUCAUGGAUCCCCUCAACACGUGUUUUCAAAUGGCCCAGACGCUCCCAAUUUUCAUUUACCCUCAUCUGGAUGCCAUCCACCCUGCCCACAUACACACUGAGUCGAUCGUUCAUAGUUUCCAUCUCCCUCCUAACUGUCUGGGCAUCCUGGCGAGCAGUACAUGACAUAUCAGUGGAAAUGCGGAUGUCACGGUGGGCUGUAUGCAUCUCAGUCAUCGAAAUCCCCAUAGCCUGCUGGAGACUCUGUACGUCUCGGCUGGUUCCCGUGGUGGUGGUGAAAAUCUGGCGCCACAACUGUGCAUUUAUCUCAACCUGUGGUGGUGGAGCUUGAGGCAUCUCUUGCUCGCGUGCUCGUGACCUUGCUCUUCCUGCUGUCUGCGUCGUUCAAUUUCUUGCUUUUUUUAGUGCUUUAUCCUGGCUCUGUCUUGAGCCUCCAAGGUACUGCGCUUUAUGAUGGGGCUGGGUUUGGCAGCCACUUCCCCGGAUGCAAUGUUUAUGCCAGCAACUAUGCAUAUUCCGGAGAUGAGGCUUGGAAAGAUCAUUGAGCUGUGCCUGUCUCCCAAGGUACCCACAUGAUGGAUCUGAUUAUAGCAGAGAGUGGCAUGAUCAACCUCAUUACCUCGCACCAAGUGAUAAAGGAAUCCAGCUGUGGGAUCUGUGAAUGUGGUUCUGUGAGAGGUCGGCUCAAUGUUGUGGCACAUAAAUAGCCACAGGAUGGCUAUAGAUGGUGUCAGCUCAAGCUGGUGCCACUCGGUGGUGGGGAGUGGCCAUGCAUUUUGUCGCCCCAAUUAGAUCUCCGCCACUUCAUGCCAAUUGAAAUCACCUGGGAUAGGGGUUAUGUUGUCCCACGUGAGCUGGUAGUAGUCUUGAAUAACCUCAGGUGAGAAUGUGAUCCAUUUUCCCCUGACCCAAGUCUGAUGCAGGUGGUCGAACCCUAGUGUGUCAAUUUCUGUAUUGAAGUUGGCGUAAAAUUUCCCUACCAACAAUUCAUAAAUCCGAUGUGGCUGCUCCACUACUUUACCCCAUCCACAGUUAUGCACCAAAGUGGUUAGCUCGAAAUCAAGAAAGUCUUCCAAUUUAACAGCCCGCUCUGGUGUCACUGUCCAUCGACUCACUAUAUUUUCAUAUCGGGCUGCUGCCUCGGAAGUAAAAAAUCUCUGUAUCCCUCCUUCAAGCACUCGAGUACGUGCUGUGCCAGAUGAUGAGCCAACCUUUUCUUUCCCUUUUGAAGUUCGUUUUGGUGGCAUCCUGCAAAGUUGGAAAAUAGCUAGCAUUAAAUAUCUUGUUGUACAGCGAGAAAUCGCAUGAAAUGAAAAGCACGUAAUUCACAAAUCCCCCAAACUUAUUUCAAUAUGCGUGUAUACUACCACGGUGUGUAAUAAACAAUGUAUGAUGAUUAGAAUGGUAUAAAUGUAUAGCCCAUACGAAAACUAAGAAAAUUUGGGUGAAUAUGCUCAUAGUGAAAGGGUUGGUGUCAUGAUUGAGUAUACACCUUCGGCCCCGGGCACUAUCAAGAAUUAUCAAGAUUGUCCCAGGAAACCUCUGGGCAUAUGAAAGUACGCAAUGAGGUCUAGCACAUACCCAAAUUUCAGAAAAACAAAUCGAAAAUGACCUUAAAAAAACGAGGCAUAAUGAAGGAGAUUGUCAAAAGUCAUACCUUUAAGAUGAUGUGCUUAAAAUGGAUGCUUGCCUUGAUGAAUUUAUGCCGAGGUGAUUAUGAAUUUCGUGGGUUUAUUUGAGGAAUUGUUGCCCUAGCUGCUCGUGUUCGUGAAUUGGGGAGUGAAAAGUGUGAAUGAAGAGUGAAUCGGUCAUGGCUUUAACCAUGGCCGAUCCACUUCUAUGCAGCCGCAUCGUUAAAAGCUAUGCGGUCGCAUAGUUAUAUUUUUUUUUAGCUUUUUCUUUCGAUUGGUGUCUAUGCGACCGCAUAGACACCAUGUCCAGACACUUUUUUUUUUCAAAAGAAAUAAAAUAAAACAAUGUUUCUUUCCCCAAAAAUCUGAUUUUUGUCCAAAUUAUUAUUAUUAUUUUUUUGAUAAAUGACCCGGCUCUCAACGCCCCCAAUUUUUCAAAGACAUACUUUUAAAACAUUGACAUGUGAAAUUUAGAAAACAUAAUUUGCCUUGAAAUGCGUGAAUUCCACACUCAACUACCCAAACAACUCAAAUCAACCCGAACUCGUGUGUGAUACUUAAGGACUUGUGUGAACAGUGCUUGGACUCUUUUAACAUGCCUAUAUGAUCGAUGACCACAUAACAAAAUACUAAAUGAAUUUGAAAAUAAACUUCCUAAUCUAAUGCAGAAAGUAUAAUAAAGUAAAUAAAUAGAUAAAAAGGAUACAGUGGAUUGCCUCCCACCCAGCGCUAAGUUAUAGUCGAUAGCUUACUUUUCUGCGGCUGCUUCAUUUUGGCGUCUCGAGUUGAAUGGUUGACUUUUGGUUAGAGAAGUCACCGCCCCAGUAGUGUUUCAACCUUUGCCCAUUAACAGUGAAGAUACCCUUAUUCUCAUGGCUCACUUGUAUAGCCCCAUAUGGUAGGACUUUUGUAACUGUGUAGGAACCCGACCACCGUGAUCGUAGUUUUCCUGGGAAUAGCUUGAGUCUCGAGUUAUACAGUAGUACUUGCUGCCCCACUUCAAAUACUCACCUCUGAAUGUGCAUAUCAUGCCACUUCUUGGUUCGCUCUUUGUAAAGUUUUGCAUUUUCAUAAGCCUCCAUUCUAAAUUCAUCCAACUCAUUCAAUUGCAGUAGACGCUUUUCAUCGACGGCAUUCAAGUCCAUAUUUAACUGUUUCAUAGCCCAAUAUGCCCGGUGCUCCAUUUCUAAUGGCAAAUGGCACGCUUUCCCAAAGACUAGGAGGUAUGAAGACGUGCCUAUCGGGGUCUUGAAUGCUGUUCUGUAAGCCCGUAAUGCAUCGUCCAGCUUUUUAGACCAAUCCUUUCUAGAUGAAUUCACAGUGACUUCUAGUAUUCUCUUCAGCUGUCGAUUAGAUACCUCAACUUGCCUGCUGGUUUGUGGAUGAUAUGGAGUAGCAAUGCGGUGUUUAACGCCAUAUUUAUUCAGCAAUUGCUCAAACUGGCAAUUGCAGAAAUGCUUGCUCCCAUCGCUGAUUAUAGCCCGCGGUGUACCAUAUCGGGUGAAAAUGUAUUUCUUCAAGAAUCCAAUUACUAUCUUUGAGUCAUUUGCUGGUAAUGCAAUUGCUUCCACCCAUUUUGAUAUGUAAUCCACUGCCACCAAGAUAUACUGAUUUGAGAACGAAGGGGGGAAAGGUCCCACGAAGUCAAUUCCCCAAACAUCAAAUAUCUCCACUUCCAAAAUGUUGUUCAGUGGCAUUUCAUUCCUCCUCGAGAUAUUCCUAGUGCAUUGACAUCUGUCACACCUCUUAACAAACUCAAAUGUGUCUCUAAACAGUGUAGGCCAGUAGAAAUCUGAUUGUAGAAUCUUUGCAGCUGUUUUUGAAGCCCCAAAGUGCCCUGCAUAUGCAGAUGAAUGGCAGUGCUCGAGAAUCUCAUGUACUUCUUCUUCAGGUAUGCAUCUCCUUACUAUCUGAUCAGCCCCCCGCCUAUAGAGAAUUGGGUCCUCCCAAAAAUAAUAUUUCAAUUCGGCGAAGAAUUUUUUCCUUUGGUGACUCAAGUAGUCCGGUGGCGGGAUGGAACUGGCCAAGUAAUUGACGAUAUCUGCAUACUAAGGUGCUUCAUCUACUCUCAACAUUUGCUCAUUUGGGAAGAUCUCAUUGAUGUCCACUUAUUCAUCUGCCUCCCUAGGUUCUAAUCGGGAUAGGUGAUCCGCGACUACAUUCUCAUUGCCCUUCUUAUCUCGGAUCUCGAUAUCGAAUUCUUACAGCAAUAGCACCCAACGAAUCAACCUCGACUUUGCAUCCUUCUUUGUGAGUAGAUACUUUAAUGCAGCAUGAUCUGUGUAGACUAUAACUUUAGACCCGACAAGAUAUGACCUGAAUUUGUCAAGUGCAUACACUACAGCCAAUAGCUCCUUUUCAGUGGUGGCAUAAUUGAUUUGCGCUUCAUUAAGAGUCCUACUUGCAUAGUAAAUUACAUGAAAGAUUUUGUUUCUCCGUUGUCCCAAUACUGCACCCACAGCGUGAUCACUUGCAUCACACAUCAAUUCAAAAGGGAGUUCCCAGUCUGGUGCCACAAUUACUGGUGCUGUCAUAAGCUUCUCCUUUAAGGUGUUGAAUGUUGUGAGGCAUUCUUCAUUAAACUCAAAUGUUACGUCUUUCAUUAGCAGAUUACAUAAAGGUUUAUUGACCUUCGAAAAAUCUUUUAUAAAUCUCCUGUAGAACCCCACAUGUCCCAAGAAACUACGAACCCCUUUACCUGAUGUAGGUGGUGGUAACUUCUCAAUAAUUUGAAUUUUUGCCUUGUCCACCUCAAUUCCUUUUGAUGAGAUUCGAUGCCCGAGUACAAUGCCUUCUUACACCAUAAAGUGGCAUUUCUCCCAAUUUAAAAUCAGGUUAGUCUCCUUGCAUCUCUGUAAGACCAAAAUUAGGUGCUCUAAACAUUCAUCGAAUGAGGACCCAUACACUGAGAAGUCGUCCUUGAAAAUUUCAAUAAACCUUUCAAUCAUAUCGCAGAAUAUUGCCAUCAUACACCUCUGAAAUGUGGCUGGGGCAUUACAAAGACCAAAAGGCAUCCUACAAUAAGUAAAAGUACCAUAGGGACAGGUGAAAGUGGUCUUCUCCUGAUCUUCUGGUGCGACAGGUAUCUGAUUAUAGCCCAAGUAUCCAUCUAGGAAACAGUAAUGUGAAUGUCCAGCCAAUCUUUCUAACAUCUGAUCGGUGAAUGGGAGGGGGAAAUGAUCCUUUCGUGUGGCUGCGUUGAGCUUGCGAUAGUCGAUGCAAACUCUCCAUCCCGUAACUGUUCUUGUGGAAAUUAAUUCAUUCUUCUCAUUUUUCACCACUGUGAUUCCUCUCCUUUUUCGGUACCACUUGAACCGAGCUAAUCCAUGCACUAUCUGAAAUUGGGUAAAUAAUUCCUGCAUCCAGUAAUUUCAAUAUCUCUACCCUGACCACUUUCUUCAUGUUCGGAUUUAAUCUUCUCUGACCCUCUAUACUUGGCUUGCAAUUUUCCUCCAUUAGAAUCUUAUGCAUGCACAGAGAAGGGCUGAUUCCUUUAAUGUCAGCUAUUGUCCACCCAAUCGCUGUCUUGUUCUCUCUGAGUGCCUUGAGAAGUUUUUCUUCCUCCACCUCACUGACUGUAUUCGAAAUGAUUACUGGAAGUGUAUCGGACUCCCACGAAUAUGCAUAUCUGAGAUGUGGUGGUAAUUGCUUAAGUUCCAGAACUGGUGGCUACUGAACUGAAGGUAGUCGCUUUGUGUUUCCCAUCCCCAGUUCCUCGAAGUGCCUCUUUCGUGUGUAUGGCGGGUUGGUCUCCAAAAAUCUUGCACAUGUUUCAACUUCAAAAGACUCUGACUGGAUUGAUUGGGAUUGUGCAAUACAUGCCUCAUAGGCAUCAGAUGGAUCGUAUAGUAAGAAUGUUUCUUGCACUGCCUUGUCAAUAAUGUCAACUUAAUAACAGCUGUCAGAUUCUGCUGGUAAUUUCAUUGCCUUGAAUACAUUGGAUGAUAUCUGCUCCUCUCCCAAUCUUAAAAUCAACUGACCUCUUUGAACAUCAAUUAACGCUCUCCUUGUUGCCAAAAAUGGUCUGCCAAGUAUCAAUGGAACGUCCUUGUCCUCUUCCAUGUCCAGGAUAAGAAAGUCCACUGGGAAUAUGAACUUCUCAACCUUGAUAAGCACAUCUUCAAUUAUUCCUCUGGGAUGUGUCAGUAACCUGUCAGCCAGCUGAAGUGUCACAGUGGUUGCUUUAGCUUCUCCUAAUCCUAGUUUCCUGAAAAUAGACAAAGGCAUUAAAUUAAUACUUGCACCGAGGUCACAUAAUGCUUUAUCAAAAUAUACUUCACCGAUUGUGCAAGGAACAGUAAAACUCCCUGGAUCUUUUAGUUUUGGUGGAAGCUUAUUCUGGAUUUUGGCACUACAUUCCUUAGUAAGCAUAACUGUCUAAUGAUCUUCUAGCUUGUGUUUAUUUGAUAUGAUAUCCUUCAGAAAUUUCGCGUAGCUAGGCAUCUGGAACAAUGCAUCAGCUAGUGGGAUGUUGAUAUGGAGCUUUUUGAAGAUUUCUAGAAAUUUUUUGUAUUGUUGCUCCACUUUUUGCUUCUUCAAGCACUGUGGAAAGGGAAUCGGAGGUUCAUAGGGGUUGACUGUGACUUUGGCCUUAUCUUGUGAUUCUUCUGAAUUUUCCUUUGAACUGGAUUCCUUUACAACAGUCUCUUCUUCAGCGAAGGAAGAUGUUUCUCCAAUCACCCCCGGUCUCUUGACAUGGAUUUCAGGUAAUUGCACUCCACUUCGAGUUGUAAUGGCCUUGGCUUGCUCUUUAGGAUUGAUUUUUGUAUUACUUGGUAAGUUACCUGGUGUUCUGCCAGUCAAUGCGAUGGCUAGCUGCCCCAUCUGAGUUUCCAAAUUUUUGAUGGCUGCAUUUUGAUUUUGAAGUAUAGCUUCGGCCUUCUCCAUGAAUUUUGCUAUCAUAUCUUCCAAUUAAAUCCUCUUCUCCUGUUGUUGAAAUUGCCCCUAUGGCUUAUUCUGAUUCUGGUUGCUCCAAGAGAAGUUGGGAUGUUUCUUCCAGCUGGGAUUGAAAGUCUCACCAUAUUGAUUAUGCUACUGACGUUGUCCCCACUGUGCGUAAUCUGCUUGCUCAAUUCCUUGCAUGAGUAUUGGGCAAUCUAAUGUUUUGUGCUCGGCUCCACAUUCCUCACAAUUGCUCUUCUUAGCUUGUGAUGCUUGUGAUAUGCUUUCCACCUUAUGAUACAGAGAAUCAAUUUUUGUAGAUAUUGCUGAAUAAGCAUCCACCCCAUAGACACCUGGAGUUUUCUUUGGAAUCGCCCUCUCAGAAGACCACAUGGCUGAUGUGGUAGCCAUUCGCUCAAAUAAUUCCAAUGCCCCAUCAACUGUUCUUGUGGAUAUUGAGCCAUCUGAUGCUGAAUCUACCAUGCUCUUAUGGUAUGGAAGUAAUCCUGUGUAGAAGAAUCGAAUCUGGGUCUUUUUAUCGAACCCAUGUUGAGGGCAUUUCUGGAGCAUGUUUUUAAAUCUGUUCCAGGCUUCAUCAAAUGAUUCAGUCUCUCCUUGAUUGAAUACUGAUAUAUCAUGUCUCAGCUUUGAUAUCUUGGCUGGAGAGAAGAACUUUGUGCAGAACUUGUGUGCCAGCUCAUUCUAUGUAGUGAUACUUGCAAUCGGGAGUGAAUCCAACCAUUCAAGUGCUCUGUCUCGUAACGUAUGUGGAAAAAGCCUCAACCUAAUAGCGUCAUCCGAAAUCCCUUGGUAUCUGAAAUGUUGACACAUAUCCAGAAAUCAAGAUACGUGUGUGUGUGGAUUCUCCUCGGCUUUACCAUAUAAUUGGUGUCCAUUUUGAAACAGCUGUAUUACAUUGGUCUUCAAUUGAAAGUUGGGCUGCCCGAACGGUGGAUAUACAAUGCUGGAUUGACUUUGAAUAACUUGAGGAGUCAAGAAGUCCCCCGAAAUUUCAUUUCCUUCAUCCACGGCCUCUCCUUCGUUAGCUUGAAUAAUAGGAUUGUUUAAUUCGUUGGCCAUUUGUACUUGUACUUCACGGUGAUCUCUUUGUCGUCGAUGAAAGGUGCGCUCAAUUUCAGGAUCAGCUGGAAUCAAUUCUCCUCCAGGCAAUCGUGACAUGCAAAUUUGAGAAUUAAAACCAGUACGAGCACUGAGAUUCAAACAAUUUAAUUAACUAAAACACUAGAGGAUAAUAACCUAAAAUAAAAAUAAAAAUAAAAACAAAAUUAUGCUAGUAAAAUAAAAUUUGAGUUCAAAUUAGUGCCCCAAGAAAUAAAAUUAAACUAAACUCAAUCCCCAGCAACGGCGCCAAAAACUUGUUCACGAAAUAUUUCUUUCAAUUUAAAUUACCGCAAGUGUACGGGUCGUGACAAGUAAUAAAGUGGACUUUAGAAAUCUGAGUAUCGUCCCACAGAGAAAGAGUAGUUCAAUUUUAUUUAUUUUAACCUUAACCGAAACUAAUUGACUUAAGAUGAAUUUUAGAAUUAAAAACCCUACUUUUGGGAGAAAUCCCCAAAUUGAAGAAACCUAAUUACUCAAAUUCACUUAACGAAUGACUCAAUUACGAAAUGUUAUGAAAAUAAAUGAAAUGUAUUGUCAAUUUAUGAAAAUCUAUGUAAAACGAAUGCACUAGGAUCACGAAUCCCCAAAUAAUUAUUAAGUAAACCCUAAUUUUACAAUUUUGAUAAUCCAAUGAGAAUUUGACAAAUCAAUGCUCCUAAAUCUAUUCAAUACUCUCUCUCGAGAUGUAUUGAACCUAUUCUCAUAAAUCACUAGCCUAUAUUUCUAUGAUAGAUGCAAUUAUACAAGAACGCAUGUAUUUUUUUUUUGUGAGCAAUUAAAGAUUUACAUAGGGCAUAGGGGUAUAUUUCUAUCCCCUAUCGGACCCUAUGAUGAAUUAUAUAUGUCGAGUUUAAUCCAAUUUUCUCAAAUUCAGAAUUAAACCACCAAAUUCACACAAAUUAAGUGCACAUUAAUUGUGGAAACAAAUAAAUCAGUAUAAUUCAUUCAAAUAAUCCCAUCUAACUAUGAAUUCAAAGUCAUGAAAUAACUAGUUUAAUAAUAAUUACAUGGUUCAUCGAUCACCUAGUUACAAAAAUCUAGCCUAUCAUGAUAAAAAUGAUGAAAUCUAUCAAGUUUUGAAUAAAAUACAUCAUCGAGUUAUCAAAACUUGAAGAAAUUCUCAAGAAAUCUUGUAAAUCUUCGCGUCAAUCCUUGUUCUUGCCUUCAAAUCCUCUCCAAAAUGAAUGUUUUUGCCUCCCAAUUCGUUCCUCCCGGCUUCUGGAUGUUUAUUUGCAAUUUAAACCCAUCGAAAUUAGGUUACCAAAGGAGUUACAAUCAUAUAAGGAAACUGCAAAAAUCGGGCACAGAUUACACCUAUGCGAUCGCAUAGGCAUAACCUAUGCGACCGCAUAGGUAUAUGGAUUUUGGCAUUUUUAAUCCCUGGAGGGUUACUCGUGACCGCAUAGCUUUUCUACUAUGCGACCGCAUAGUAGAGUGAACUUCCAAAUUGAGUCAUUUUAAUAAUCAAGUUUUAUUCCUUCACUCCUUGACCUCCUCUCUUGUUUCUAGUUGCUCCAAUGUUCCAUUAUAACUUCCAAUUGGUGCUUAGCCUGAUCAAUUGCUUGAUGUGUUCAUCGGAUCAACUUUCAGAUAAUUGCAAUUUGGUCUCUGAAUUUUCAUUUUGCUCCAAUUUGGUCCUUUUUCGGCUCUUUUCUCCUGAAUUCCACUAUUUGCAUAGAAUCACCUACAUUGCAUGAAUUCAACAAAAUUAAGUCACAAUUCAAUCAUUUUACUUGUAUUUAAAUCAUGUUUGUGAUGUAAAUAAGUGUGCAAAAACACACUUAUCAAUUAUCCUGGGCAAAUCUUCCCUAACAAUUGGUAUCAGAGCAUCCGAUAAUAGCAAAAUUGGUGGAGCUUGUGAAGCUAUAAACAAUAGUUGUGUUCAACAAUAGCUGAGUUGCUACAAUAUCAACGAUAGUAGAAGAUGGAAAAGCUAAGGUUGAAAAAUUCAAUGAAUCGAACUUUGAAUUGUGGAAGAUGUAGAUAGGAAUUAUCUCUACCAAUAGGAUCUUUACCUUCCUUUUGAAGAAGCAUUAAAGAAGUUGGUGUAUAUGAAAAAGAACGAGUGAGAGUUGUAGGACCGUAAAGCCUUGGGUACAAUAAGGCUGACUCUUGCUACCAGGCUUGGCCCUAGGUCCAAGCUACCUAGGAAGGGCUUAGGACCUCAAAAUUUUUAAGAACUUUUGGCUUGGGUCCAGGGCCUCAAAAUUUUUGAUGGGAUGAAAAGAAAAAAAGGGUGAAUGGAGAUUUUUAUAUAGCAUUGAUUUUACUGUGCAGCCUGGAAGAAGACUUUUCAAACGAUUCUUGAAUUCCCCUCUCCAACAUUUUCACUUCUUAGGGUUUCAAUCACAUUCCUUUGUCCUCUAAAGGUUUUUCUCCGAAGGUACAAUUUCAAACAAUGAUGAUGAUGAUGAUGAUGAUGAUGAUGAUGAUGAUGAUGAUUAUUAUUAUUAUUAUUAUUAUUGUUAUUGUUAUUAUUGCUACUACUUUAGUAUGAUAAAACUAGUUCGUUGGACGUUUCUAGGGAAGAUUUUUGAUAUAUUUACAGCUAGGGAUGGCAAUCAGGCUAGCCGGCUCGAGCUGCCCAUAGCUAGGUCCGAAAAUGCUCGAGCCGGCCCUGCUUGAGGCAUGGAGGCACCGAGCCCUAUUUUGAGGAGUCAGCUCAAGCAUAGCCCGACCCGUUUAAAUAUAUAUAAAAAAGACAGCCAAAAGAAUUCAAUUUGUUGCCUGCUAGUAGCUAUGAAGCUACCUGUUAAAGCAGCAGAAAUGCUACCUAAACCGACAGCUUUAUAGGCUGCUUGUUGAGGCAGCUAAAUAGCUGUCUUAAAUCGAUAGCUGGGGAGAAAAAACUCGGGCCAAAAGCUCGGGUCGAGGUUUAAUUUUUUGGCCGAGCUUUUGCUCGGCUUGGCUCGGGCAAAAAAAAAGCCCGCCUUAAAAAGCCCGAGCCAAGAAUUUUGGCUCGGCUCGUUGACACCCCUAUUUAUAACAAAGUUUUAAAAUGACUGCUAAAUGUAUAUGUCGGGAUGUGAAUUUAGAAAAAGACGCUUUAGAUGAGUUUUAUUUGUAAAUUGUAAUUGUAAGCUUUUUGUUUUUUAACAAAUACAAAUACAAUUGUUGUGUUGAACAUAAUUUUGGACAAAAUCCUUCAAUCAGUUUAUAGGUUUAGUGUUCCCAAUAUUUUCUUAAUCUAUUGAUGGCGCUAAACUGAAGUGUUGUUGCAUUAAUCUUGAAAAUUAUUUGAAAAAUAACAUGGUAUCCGACAUCGAUGGAAAAGAAUUAUUUUCUAAACUAAAUGCUAAAGAAAAGCGAUACCUACAGAAACUAAUGGAGUACUAAAGUGUUAGAUUACAUUAAGAGAAUGAAUUGCUGUUUUGCAAAUGCCUAGGUUGCUUAUAGAGUAUUAUUAACUAUUCCAGUCACCAUUGCAUCCACUGAAAGAAGUUUUUUAAAGUUGAAAUUGAUUAAGUCUUAUCUUGGAACGACCAUGUCACAGGAGAGUUGAAUGGAUUAGUCAUGAUUUCUAUUGAAAAAACAUGAUUUGAGUUGUUAGAUUACUAAUUUGCAUUUCAAAAUGUGAGAUGACUUAAUAUGGUGCUAGCCUAAUCUCUUGGAUUGUGAGUGGUAUUUUAUUUUGAAAUUCUAUCUUUUUUAUUAUACAAAAAUUUUCAUUUAAAUAUAGAUAUAUUUUUUAUUUAGAUAUUACUACACGUGCGAACAAAUGAAAUUACAAGGCUUCAUAAUAAUGAGUCGUCUAGGGCCUAAAAAUUCACAGGGCCGACCCUACUUGCUACAUCUGUUGCUUUCAAUAUCAGAAAUGAAAAGCCAACCGAAAGUAUGAUGGAAGCUUUAUCAAAUGUAUGAAAAGCUUUUUGUAACAAUUAAAGUCCAUCUUAUCAAGAAACUGUUCAACUUAAAGAUGUUCGAGGGAGGAGUUGCAAUAGAGCAUAUCAACUGUUUUAAUACACUUAUAAUGAUGAUUAUGCACCUCACACUUCACAAAAUAAUUAAUGGUUGACCAAAUACUAAGUACUAAAUAAAGGCAAUAAUUUAAAAAAGGCAGUGGUGUAGUCAAGUGAUACGUUUGCCGCAUCAGUUUUCCUCACUUUUUAGUUCUUGUAUUAAAAACCCUCACUUUUUUUAUUUUUGGUCAAUUUAUCUUUUUGUUGACAUAUUGUUGUUUUAUUCCUUUCCCAAUGGGUGUUUGCAUCAAGCAAUCAGAAAUUAGAAAUUUAGAAUUUGCAUAUAGAAUGGUAGGCCUGUGUUUAGGAGGCCUUGCAUCAGCUGAUGCCACUUCUUUUGUUUUGUGACCAUUGUUUGCCCAUUGCUAAUUGGCAACAUGGUAUUCUCUCCUCGACGUUAUUCUUGCAAUGAAGUUUGAAAUUAGUAGUCAUUGAAUCUCAGUAGUAGCAUUGUUGAACAUGUAUGAAGUUGGAUCUAUUAACAUCUCUCAACCUUUCGUGAAGCGGGUACCGAGUGUCAACAAAAUCAUAUACUGUCUUCGUUGACUAAUAAAACAAGCUGAUGUGACCGUUAACCUUUACAGGGUGGGGAGUUAAAAGUAUUGGAAUAAUCACAAAUUGAGCAUCACUAUGGCAUGAUAUCAGCUGAAUAUUAGCAGAAUAUUUUCCUUGCAUCAGUUGAAUAUUCCUUGCUGUAUUUCCUUUUUCAUCUUUAUUAUGUAUUCCUUUCCAGUACCACAGUAUCAAUUAGAAUAAAGAGUUGGAGCUAAGGGCUCCUUACCAUGUACAUAUAUCUUUAGGCUCAGCCAUAAUAAAAUCAAGCUUUACCGCUUUCUUUAUGGUCGAAGAGAGCCCCUUACCUAUUGCUUCCAAUGCUUCAAGUAACAACUCAAAUAACAGCCAAUCGAACAACAACCAAUUCAGCCAGGAAGCCGCAUCACGAUAUGUUCUCUAUGCUUCUGACAAUCCAGGCACAACCUUAGUGACUUGCCUAUUUCCAAAAAAACAUUACCCCCACAUGGCAACGGGCAAUGAUGAACGUACUUCAAGCCAAAAGUAAGUUCGGUUUUGUGGAUGGUUCUAUCCAAUGCCCAACACCCAGUUCACUGGAAGAACCUACUCGGAUCAAAUAUAAUUCCAUGGUGAUUUCAUGGAUUUUUAAUUCACUCAACCCUACCCUUCAAGACAGCGUGGCAUAUUUCACGAUGUCACAUGAGAUGUAGAAUGACAUUGAAGAGCAUUUUUCACAAAAUAAUGCCCCUCGCAUCCAUCAACUAAAAACUGAGAUGGUGAACACCCUACAGUAAGGAAUGACAUUCUCAGUUUAUUAUACAAAAUUGAAAGGGAUUUGGGAUUAACUCGGGACAUACUCUCAAAUCCCACCUUGCACCGUGGCUCUACGAAGGCGAUGGCUGUAGAGAAGGAAAAAGAAACGGUGCAUCAAUUCCUAAUGGGAUUGAGUGAAAAAUACAAUACAUGCGAUCAAAAAUCUUAAACACGAACCCGUUACCCUUAUUUUCUCGUACUUAUGCACUUGUAGCACAGGAGAAAUGCCAACAAUUGGUAACGGCAUCCAGAUUACCCUCUGUCGAGGCAGGAGCAUUCAGUACCAACAACAUCAAUAGAAUUUGUAGCAGCCGCAGACCCUCAAGUAACCGUGGUCCCUCCAAGCAAUUCUGUGAGCAUUGCAAAAAGACUGGACACACUUAGAACAUUUGUUUUAAACUACACAACUAUCCAGAAUGGUGGGACUAAGGGAAGAAAUCAUCCAAAACGAAAGCCGCUAAUAAUUCACAGCGUGUAGAAGGUCAUGGAGACAACAACGUUGUACCAAUUAACGGGUUGAACAAUCGAGCCGUACACUCAACUCUUGUCCAUGCUCAACCUUGAUAAAAAUCACGAUUCCACAGCCAACUUCGUGGGUAAGGCAACCUCUCUGUCCAAUGUUACAAUUGAAUGGGUUUUGGAUUUGCGUGGUUCCGACCAUAUGACGUACGUUGAAAGAGCACUGACCUCUCCCAAACCUGUGUUACAUUUUUCGCCCAUCAAAAUUCCAGAUGGCUCUUUUUUUACCAGCAAAGUCUUCUGGAAACCUUUCCCUUAAUUCCCUUGUUACUUUGAAUAAUGUCCUCUAUAUACCUACUUUUACAUGUAAUCUGAUUUCUAUCAGUAAGCUAACCUAAUCAUUAAAUUGUGUUGCUCAUUUCUUUCCUUUUUUCUGUGCCUUAUAGGACCUAGCCACGAGGAAGCUGAUUGGAAUGGGUAAAUUGUGAGAUAGACUCUAUUAUUUUCAAGCACUCACAGUUUCUGUAGCUGCAACUAGUACCACUAGUGAUUCUCAAAUCCUUCUCUGGCAUCAACGUCUUGGACAUCUCUCCUUUGAUAAGCUAUCCCUCCUUACUAAUUUAGAUUUACCUUCUAUUAGAUCAUUCAAUAAAUGUUGUGAUUCUUGUCAUAGAGCCAAGCAGUCUUGAAAACCUUUUUCCACUAGUUUUAUUAAAAUGCAUGAAUCUUUUGAAUUAAUUCAUUGUGAUGUUUGGGGACCGUAUCAUACCUCAUCAUUAUCUGUUGCCAAUUAUUUUUUAAGCAUUGUUGAUGACUGCACUAGAUCCACUUGGGUUUAUUUGCUCAAAACCAAGACUGAAGUCUAUGUUAGGUUAAUUUCUUUCAUCGCUAUGAUUAAUAAACAAUUUGGAAAGGUCGUUAAACAAAUUCAUAGUGACAAUGGAACGAAAUUCAUAAAUCAUAACCUUCAUUUUUUCUCCCAACAAAAUAGGAUCUUGACCCAAUUUUCUUGCAUAACCACACCCCCAACAAAAUGGAGUGGUUGAACAUAAACAUCGACACAUAUUUGAAACCACUAGGGCCUUAAGAUUUCAAGCCAAUUUACCUCUUAAAUUUUGGGGAGAGUGCAUAUUAACUGUUGUAUAUUUAAUAAAUUAUAUCCCCAUACCACUUUUGUUUGGGAAGAGUCCCUACGAACUUUUGUUCUCUCAGAAAUGAAAUUAUUCUCACCUUCGUGUUUUUGGAUGUCUUUGUUAUGACUCUAUCAUCCCUCGAUCAAGAGAUAAAUUUCAGGUACGUGCAUCUGCUUGCAUAUUUGUUGGUUAUCCUCAUGGUCAAAAGGGGUACAAGGUAUAUGAUUUAACUACACACAAAAUCUUCACUUCUAGGGAUUUAACAUUUUAUGAACAUUUUUUCCCUUUCCAUAAUGCAUCAUCAUUUCACCUUUCAAAUCACAAUUCACCAACAACGACACUUGUACCUUUACCAGCACCUGACCAUGAACUUGAGUUGCUCUCUCCUAACAUCACCACUUCGAUCAUACAUCAAUAUCUAGAUUUCCCAAAUUUUGAUGAUUCUAUAGACACAGGCACUUUUCCUUCGUCCCCCUCCCCUCCUCAUCUGUCCCAUCCGAUGCUUGCUCAACGUCCUCCUGCGAUAGGAAGUUACCAUCUCACUUUCGUGAUUUUCACAUUGAGUUGCCCAAGACAAAUGGAUCCUCUCCCGCCUCUUCCAAUAAUGCUUCCUUAGGUACGUCCUAUCCUUUAAAGAAUUUUCUUUCAUAUUCUAAGUUUACCUCACCACAUACUAGUUUUCUUAUGGCCAUCACCCAACGUGAUGAGCCGAAAUCAUAUCACCAGGCCAUCAAGGAUGUUCGUUGGCAAGACGCCAUGAAAAAGGAAUUGGAAGCACUUGAAAAAAAUCGUACAUGGAAAUUGGAGCGGUAGCCCACUGGGAAGAAGGCUAUUGAAUCACGGUGGGUUUGCAAAAUCAAGUAUCAUUCCGAUGGGACAGUCGAGAGGUAGAAGGCUCGCUUGGUCGCUAAAGGUUAUACAUAGGUUGAAGGGCUUGAUUAUAAUGGAACUUUUGCUCUCGUUGCCAAACUUACAACGGUAAGAGCCUUAUUAGCUGUUGCGAUUGCCAAGUCAUGGGACUUACACCAACUUGACGUUCAUAAUGCAUUCUUACAUAGAGACCUUGAUGAGGAGGUCUACAUGACACCACCUCCUGGAUAUUUGUCUUCCACUGACGACCUGGUGUGUCAACUCCGUAAGUCCAUUUAUGGUUUGAAAUAGGCCUUUCGCCAGUGGUUUGGUAAAUUCUCUAGUGCUAUCCUCCGCUUUGACUUUACUUAGUGCCAAGCUGCUAUUUCUCUUUUUAUGCAUUGCAAGGAAAACUCGUUCACUGCAUUACUUGUAUAUGUGGAUGAUGUUAUUGUUGCUAGCAACAGUCGUGCUAACACUACUGCCCUCAAGGGGUAUUUGAACACCUAGUUUCACAUUAAAGAUCUCAGCCCUCUCAAAUAUUUCCUCGGUUUAGAGGUGGCUCAAUCUCCUAAAGGCAUUUUCUUAUCUCAAUGCAAGUAUACAUGGAUAUCCUGCAGGAAGCCGGCUUACUUGGUACGAAGCCCAUGCCAUUCCCCAUGGAGCAAAAUCACAGAUUAGCACUGGACGAGAGUGCUCUUUUGGAUAAUCCGUCUGCCUAUUGUCAUCUUGUUGGGAGGCUUAUUUACUUAACCAUCACCAGACUGGAGCUUUGCUAUUCCGUCCACAUUCUCUCUCAUUUCAUGCACGAAACUAGACAUGGGUGUUGGAUAGAAGCCCUUCGGGUCUUGCACUACCUUAAAUCUGCUCCUGAUCAAUGUAUUUUUCUCUCCUCCAAAUUUGGUUUUCAACUUCAUGCCUACUAUGAUUCAGACUAGGCGGGUUGCCCUCUUACUUGCCGUUCGAUACUAGAUAUAUUAUUUUUGUUGGUUGUUCUCCUAUUUCUUGGAAGACAAAGAAGCAAACUACCGUUUCCUACUCUUCAGCUGAAGUUGAAUAUCGCUCCAUGGCCUCAACUGCUUGUGAACUCAUUUGGCUUCGCACUUUGCUUCAAGAUUUAUCCAUUCACACUUCUUCGCCAGCUCAGCUUCAUUACGACAAUCGUGCUGCCAUACACGUUACUGCCAACCCUGUUUAUCAUGAACGCGCUAAACAUAUCGAGAUUGACUGCCACUUCAUUUGCAAUUGCAUUAAGUCCGGCUCCAUUGCCACAUUACAUGUUUCCUCUGAUCGACAAAUAGCUGACAUCUUCCCCAAAGCUCUUGGCAAUAACCAGUUCCACUUCCUUGUUGGCAAGUUGGGUAUUCGUGAUCUCUAUGCUCCAACUUGAGGGGGCGUACUGGAAUAAUCACAAAUUGGGCAUCAUUAUGGCAUGAUAUCAGCUGAAUAUUUUCCUUGUAUCAGUUGAAUGUUUCCUUGCUAUAUUUCCUUUUUCAUCUUUAUUAUGUAUUCAUUUCCAGUACCACAGUAUCAAUUAGAAUAAAGAGCUAGAGCUGAUGGCUCCUUACUAUGUACAUAUAUGGAUCGGCCAUAAUAAAAUCAAGCUUUACCGCCUCUUUAAAUUUAUCAAAAAGUCUAAUAUUGUAAAAAUUACUGUACAAAUUUUUUUUUUUUUUUUUUUGGGUUUUUAAUCAAGAUACCUAAUUUUCAAGUUAGACAUAACUAGCUGAAGUUAUAUUUUAAAUAUUGAAAAAUAAUUACUACAAAACUAGUAAUAACCACAUACAAACACAUGAUUCAAUGUUUUCUGAUCAAAAAAAUAAAUAAAUAUUAAAUUUUGAUUUAAUUAAUUUAUAAACAAAUAGUUAGUAAUUAAAUUAAUUAAAUCAAUUACUAAAUAAUCAAAUUUCAAAUCAUUGCAGCAAAUAACUCAUACGAGCAAAUCAAGCCCGGGUAAUUUGCCCUUAUCAAUGUCCUGAUCAUGCCAAAAAUGCUACGGCUGAAAUCUUAAAGAAGUGCCCUUAUAAAAAAGCGGUAAUUAUAUGGCACGAAUUUUGCAUGGUAUGAUACUCCAAUGAGGCUAUCUUUGGAAAUGGGAAAAUGCUAAAGAACCCGAGAUUAAGUCCCGAGUUCCGUUCCAGGGGUGGAGAUGGCAGAGUCUCUGCCCUCGAUUUUGAUGGUGGGCCCCCCAAGUGCAGAAGAUCAACAGCCGACCUCGGCCCUGGAUUGGAACCCGUGAUUUAAACCCGGGCUCUGUAGCACAGUCCUUGAAAAUGUUGCGUACUCUCUAUUGGACUGGGGAUAUAUUAUGGAAAAUGUCCCGGAUGAAGACAAGUUUGACCAAAAGGUUGUACAUAUUAUUGGAUAGUCUUCAUAAUUAGACCGUUCAUAAUAGAUCAACCAAGAAAUUCGCUGUUGUAAGUCGAGCUAACCCGGAUUAUCAGAUAAUUUAUGUUUUUUUGCAGUGCACACCUGAUAUUACCCCACAGGAUUGUGGUGAUUUCUUAACACGGUCUGCCUUAAAGAUUUAACAAUUUUGUCGUGGGCCAAGAAGAGUUAGGAUCCUUAGGCCUAGUUGCUAUCUUCGUUUUGAAACCGAUCCUUUCUACAAAGAAAAUAUGGUCGAAACAGUACUCUAGCCACCAACUUCUGCACUGUCAGGUAGCAACGUCCUCUUGGCGAAUCCUGUUUUUUCUUUUUAUAUUGACAUUGUUGAAGGAUAAGUUAUGUUUCUUGGAGUUAGGAGGGGGCACUGGCGAGGGACGGAUUUAAGCAUGAGCUUUGAGAAGUUAAAAUUUUUUUGUUUACGAUUGAGUUACUGAAUAUAAUUGUGUUUCAGUAAAUUAAGUGUCCAGAAGUCUAUGGUUGGUUAAGUUGGAACACUAAUGUGAAAGAUGAUGAUUUGUAUCCAAACCAGAUUUACCAAUACGUCUGCAUCAUUAAAUUUUUGGUUUGGCGAGAGCACCAAGGGACUUGAUUGACAUAAAAUUAUAUAUAAAGUGGCAAGUUCAUGUGAGAAAUUCGGUGCAUCCUUGUAUGGAAAUUUUCUUUGAUCUGGAUGAACGAAAGAAAUUCAUAGUUUCCAUAGAAAAUUUCAUAGUUUCGACAACGAAAAAAUUUCUUUUCCAGAAUUUCAUAGUUUCCACAAUGAAAAAUAAAAUUCUGAAAAAUUGCAACUAAAAUUCUGGAAAAAAAAAAUUAUAGUAAUUUCUAAAACAUAAAAAUUAUAAAAACAAAAAUUCAAGCUUUUAAUAAUUACUUGAAUACAUUUUUUUUUUUGAAAAAACAAAAAAUAAGUAAACGAAUGCAUACAAAAUAUUUUCAAUCCACAUUAUCAAUUUUUAUUUUUAUUUCCUAUAUUUUGAAAAUUCAAUUUAUUGCUGUUUAUUUUUUGGUUUUGUAGUGAGGAAAAAUAUUGUAAAAUUCAUCAACUUUAAAAUGUUUGCUAAUAAAUUAAUAUAAAAUAAUAUUAGAAGAGAAUGGUAGCAUGAAACUGAGCCGGAAAAUCACAUUUUAGAAGAUCUUUGGGUCAAGGUUUUGUGACAAGAAGUAAAAUAUUUUUUCUUUUCAAUUUAUUGUUGGAACACAAUAGCGGAUGAUUGUCUAAAAAACUGAUAAACUUAGUUAAAAUGUAGUAGUUAGCUUUUUUAGCAUAAAGAUUAAAGCUGUCAAUUAAGUUAAUUUCAAGUCAGAGCUCGAAAUUAAGUUGAUUUUUGUUGAAGUUGCUAAUUAAGUUUUUUUAGUUAAAACUUUUCGACCACUUUGAUCUAAAGUUUCCUAAACAUUUGGAAUAAAAAAUAGAAAAAGAUAGAAAAUUAUUUGUGAGUUUCCACAAUAUUUCUGGAGAAUUUCAAUUUUCAAAACGAGUCUGAAAUAGAAGCAGUAACAUUCUAGAGGUUUUCGAAGCAUCCUAGCUUGGUCGUGAUAUGGCUAUUAUGCAAAUUUUUAUAUUAUGACUGCAUUGCUAGGUAUAGAGAGUUUAGUUUGGAAUCACUUCUGUUACUUAGUUUUCUAUGGUUGAAUUAGAUGUUAUGGACUGUAGGGAUUUCUUGAUCAAGAUGAUUUUUUUUAUUUUUUAUUUAUUUAUUUAUUUAUUUAUUUUUACUAGAGUAUAGCAAUAUGAGCUUGGAAGAUGAAGACGAUUAGACAAGUACUUGAUUUCUCUAGGUGGUUCCUUUUGUCGUUUGGGGGGCCUAUUCUUUCACCAUUGUUGGGAUUUACUACUCUAAUUAGUUGGAUUUAUUAUUUAUCAUUGCAAAAAUAUAUAUUUCCUGAUGUGUGUUAUGUGAAAAUUCAUGUGUUGAUAUAGGUUUUGAAAAUUGGUGUUUAUUGGUUCUUCUAUAUGAUUCUUAAUUUGGAAUGCUGAAAUUAACAAAAUAUUUAUUCCAUAUUAGCCUUUUAGAUUUGGUGGCAGAUUUGGGUAGUUCCUCUUUGUUGAUUUGCAGGAUCCAUUGUUUGCUCACAAUCGUGGUUAGUCUUUGAUUCAAUUUAGAAUAUGAGAAUUGGAUUGAGUGGAGAAUUCGCUCAUCUAUAUUAAUUUUAAUCAAAAUAAUUUGUCCAGCGUUAAAAAGAUAAUGACUUCACAAAAUAACUAAUGUCUCAAUAAAUAUCAGGAACUUAAAGAAAAAUCUUGAUGCUCUCCUUUCCUCUGUCUCGUUAAAUAUUGACACCAACGGAUUCUACAUUGCCUCCAUCGAAGAAAAUUUUGAUAGGGCUAACAACUCGAACUCAAAUAUUUCCAAGAACACAAAGUAUCAAAAAACGAACAUUAUCGUCAAGAAUCGAUUAUUUUGGGCUCAGAAUAACAUUGUAUCCAUCUGUACAACAUGAAAACUUCACAAACCUAACUCCAAACAAAUCGAACAAAGGCAACUACUUCAAUAGACCAAAAACAUAUCCAGAAAACUGAAUACAACCUCUCAAAUACAAAAUCACAAAUACUCAAUACACACAGAUCUACCCCAAAAACUAGAAGUUUAAGGGUUACACGAAGUUUACGAAGAAGUUGAGUGAGAGGAGACACAAAGUCGAGGGAGAGAACCCAGAAGCUUCUAAAAAACAAAUGAAGAGUCAUUAGGACAACCACUCAGAUGGUAUAUAUAUCAACCUAGUCUUCAUUGUUGACCUUAAAUGGGUGAUCCAAUGGUCCAGAGCAGCACACGUGUCCAUCUCAUUUAGGGUCGGGUUUAGGCCCAUUUUAUGAUUAUGCUAUUGGGCAAUGACAAUAUAGUAUCUGUUGGGACAAGCCUAUUUUAUUUCAUCAUCGCCUAAGGUGAAUUGGGCCAAUUUAAUGGUAUUACAGCUCAAUAAUUCUUCCCCUUGAUGCCAAGGAUAAAAAAACCAGAACAAUAAACUUCUCUAAGCACUUAAUAUAAACUUCUUCAUGAUCCUCAUCACAAAGUUAAUUGUACCUUAAUCCCCAUUCUAACAUCUAUAUGCUUAAUUCUUUCAUAAAAAACAGGAUUUUUGCAUAAAUGAAAUGGUACUUUGACCGUCAGAAUAAACUACAACAGGAUUAACAAGUUCAUUUACCUCUUUUAACAAACCUUUAAACCAUAAAGCCUCUUUAAUGGCUUCAGUAACAGUCACCUCAAAUACUCAACUUUAGUGGUUGAUAAGGCCCCAAUGGAUUACAAUUGAAAUUUCCAACUUAUACAAGUAUCACACAAAGUAAAAAUAUAGAAGGCAGUUGAUUUCCUGUUAUCCCUAUCUCUAGCAUAAUUAGAAUCUACAAAUCCUUUCAAAGUAACUUCCUCUUUACUAGGUUUAAUACACAAGCCUAAAUUAGCAAAUCCUUUUAAAUAUCUUAGUAACCAUUUCAUAGCAGACCAAUGUUUAGGACUAGGAUUAGCCAUAAAUCUACUAAAAGUACUUGUAGCGUGAACAACAUUAGGUCUAAUGCAUAGCGUGAUUUACAUAACAGUCCAACAACAUUAGCAUAUGGGACUUUUUCCAUGGAUUUGGUGUUCAAUUCAUCAUGGGGACUUUGAUCCUUACUAACUUUAAAGUGUCACGCAAGAGGCAAAGUAACAGACUUGGAAUCAUGCAUAGCAAACUUUGAUAUCACCUUUUUCACAUAGUUAGAUUGUGUUAAAAUCAGUAAGUUUUGGAAUCUAUUUCUUUUAAUGUCCAUUCCCAAAAUUCUUCUAGCAUGCCCUAAGUCUUUCAUUUCAAAUUCAAUGCUUAAAACCCUUUCAAUGUUGUUUAUAUCACUAAUAUUUUGGCCUAUCAAUAGCAUGUCAUCCACAUACAAAAGUAGAUACACAAUCACACCAUUAUUAUUACCCUUUUUAAGAUAAAGACAAUGAUCAAAAGGGCUCCUCAUAAAAUCAACAGAUGACACAAAGAUAUCAAAUAUUUUGUACCAUUGCCUAGGGAAUUGUUUUAGGCUAUAUAAUGAUCUUUUUAAAGGACACACAUGAUUGGGCCCUUUGAUAUCAAUAAAUCCUUGUGGCUGACACAUGUAUAUAGUCUCAUCAAGGUCACUAUGUAAGAAAGCAGUUUUAACAUCCAUUUGUUCAUUUACAACCAAAGCAAGCAUAACUCAUAUAAUAGUGUAUUUUACAUCUGGGGAAAAAAUCUCAUUAUAAUCUAUGCUGGGUUUUUGGGUAAAACCCUUAACCACUAAUCUAGCUUUAAAUCUAAGGAGCUAUUUUGGAGAAUUUCCUUCCUCAAUAAUAUAAAUCCACUUGCAGUCUUCUAAAAACUUAUCCUUGGGUCUAGGUACCAGGUGUUAUUCUUUACUAAAGACUCCAUCUCCUUUUUCAUAGCAAGUUGCAACUCUUUUGAGAGUUGACAACUGACAGCCACCUCAAAAGAUUUUGACUCUUUAAAAAUAAUCUGGAUAUGAUAGGAUAACAAGGGAUAAGAAAUCAUUCAUUUUCACAGGUUCUCUUAUCUCCCUUUUAGUUCUAUCUUAGCAAGAAGGUAAUCAUUUAAAAGGUUUCCCAAGUCAUUACUAGAUCCUGGAACACUGCCUUCACUAUGUUCAUUAGGAACAGUCACCUCAUCACUUUCAGUUUUACCCCAAUCCUUAUUAAAGAGUUUGGGGGAAUGCUCUUGCUUUACAUGCAAUCUAGUCCUUUCUUCAUUUUCACUUUCAUGGAAUUUACUAGAGAUCCUCUCACUCAGGCAAGGCAUCUUUGUUUCACUAAAGGUUAUAUUUCUAUCGGUUAUCAUCUUAAAGCCCUUAUUGUCUUUCACCCAAAACCUAUACCCUUUCAUCUCUUCUGGGUAUCUCAUAAAAACACAUUUAUGGGACCUAAGCACUAGUUUUCCCACAGUUUGAUGGGAAUAAACUGCACAGCCAAAAGUUCUCAAGGGGUUAUAAUAUGCCACUUUACUUGUCCAUACUUCCUCAGGUGUUUUUCCAUCUAGGGCAUUAGUUGGUGUUCUAUUUAUGAUAUAUAUAGCUAUCAUAAUAGCCUCAUCCCACAAGACUUUAGGAAUACUUGAGCUAAACAUCAUGCACCUUGCCUUAUCGAAAAUAGUCAUAUUUAUUUCUGCCAGCUACACCAUUCUGUUGUGGGUAUUUGGUACAGUUUUAUCCUAUCAUCUUCACACAGUUUGUCAAAAUCAGAAUUACAAAAUUCUAAAUCAUUGUUUGUUAUAAGGUUUUAAUAUUUUUACCCAUUUGAUUUUCAAUUAAAGUUUUCCGAGCUUUAAACUUUUCAAAAGUAUUUGAUUUUUGUUUCAAGAAAAACCCACAGUUUUCUUGAAAAAUCAUCAAUCAAGGAUAAAAAUAUUUAUUUCCACCUUGGGAUGUGGUCGAUGAUGGGCCCCACAAAUCAAAAUGUAUGUAUUCAAGGGUAGAUACAGUAUUGUGCGUUCUAGUGUUAAAAUAAAGCCUAUGUUGUUUGCCUAAGGUGUAAAACUCACAAAAGGAAACUUUAGAAAUAAUGUCUCUUCCAAAAGCUCCCAUUUUACUUAAAAUAUACAGGCUCUUUUCACUAACAUGGGCUAGUCUAUUAUGCCAUUUCAGAUUUGCAUCACUCUCAGCACUAGAGGAUACUACAUUGUGACUGUGAAUACUAGUUCUAGUGACAUAUAUACCAUUUCUUUUAAUGCCUUUGAAAAUAAGUAAGAAACCCUUAAUUAUUUUUUGGUGCACGUUUCCAAACUUGCCUUGCCUCUUUGUCAUCUAGAUUGCCUAUUGAAAUUAAAUUUCUAUUCAAGUCUAGAACAUACCUUACCCUUUCCAAGGUAAAGGUGUACCCAUUUUCAAAUUUCAAAGUCACACUACCUAUGCCCUUAACCUUUUAGGAAACAUUAUUGCCCAUAACUACCUCUCUACCCCCAAGUUUCUUAGAGUCUUCUAACCAAGUCCUCCUAUAGAUCAUAUGAAAAGUGCAGCCUAAAUCUAGUAUCUACUUUACAGUCCGAUUAGUGUUAUCUACACAGUUCGCAGUAUUCAGAUCAGAAGUGGAAUCAAUCACUAUAUAGACAUCCAUCGUCUUUUCACCUAAUGGCUGAACAACAUUCCCUUCAUCUGCCUUAAUUUUUCUCUGUUCACUCUUUUUCUUAAAACAUAAUUUAGUGUCAUGUUUUACCCCCACACAUAACACUUUCCAUUUCCAAUUUUAGACUUUGAUCUAUGCCUCCCUUUUCCUUUCUUUUUAAAGGUACUAUUCCUUGAUUACUUUGAUUGUUUUGAUUAUUACCCUGCCUAGUAAUUAAUCUACCUCUCAUAAAUAAAUUUUCACAUUCCUUAUCCUACAUUUCAGUUUUAACCUCCAAUUCCUUACUUCUUAAAGAAUUUAUUGCUACUUCAGGGGUCAAAGAAUCUCUGCCAUACUUAAUGACAGUUUUAACAUCUUUAAAAACUUCAGUAUGGAAUUGAGAAGGAUCGCAACCUUAUAUUCUCCAGACACUGUACCCAGCAUUAGUGAUAUCUUGUACCAAUUUAUUAAAGGUAUCAAGAUUAUCAUCUAAAUCUUUGGACAAAUCAAUCUCAAAGCUAAAGAAUCUUUCUAAAAGGAAAAUUUUAUUGGGUAAAUACUGAAUCAAAUAAAGUUCUUCUAUUUUUCCCACAAGGCUUUAGCAUUAUCGAGACAAAUGAAGAAUAAUAGAGGUAUAGGCAAGUUCAUCAGAUUUAAUUUUUGGUUCAACAGUCAUAGUUUCAGGAAAAUCACCAGUUAUUGCUUUUGAAUCCUUUUGUUGAACAAGGACUCCUUUCAUUUUUUGCUGCCAAAUGGGAAAAUCCCCUUUUCCAUUAAAAAUACCCAAUUCAAAUGUAGUAGUUGUCAUUUUUCAAAAAGGGCUUUUAAUUAACAGAAGAAAAUGUUUAAGGUCAAUGUUCAACAGUAAAGUGCAGAUAUCCCAAUCAAAGUUAAACUUUAUGCAGUAUCACUCAAAAAUAUAUAUGAAAUAUCAAGCAACCAACAAAUAAUAGAUGAUUCAGUGAACAUAGAAGGAAUAGCAAGAUAAACUCAGAUAUAAGGAAAAUAGAAUUAAAUCAUGUGUUGGGAUUUACCAAGAUUCUAUGAGGUUCAAGACCCCAAGUCAAACCACAACCCAACACAAGAAACAGAAAGUAAGAGAGGCACAAAAUAAAGUAGGAUUAAGGUUAGAGAAAUUUUUAAACAACAACGUCGAGUCUCGCCGACAAGAUACCUAGAUAAUAUUCAGACCAAUUUGCAAAAAAAAAAAAAAUUCAGAUCUGAUUCCCAAUGCCAAGAUUCGAGCAGUAAUAGUAGAGUAACCAAAAGAUCUCCCAAAGAGUUUCCACCAGACACCAAGAUCCACAACCAUCAGGAUCUAGGGUUUUUACAAACUUUCAGAUCUUUCAAGAUCCAAUCGUGAAAAUUGUUUUUCCACAACCAGAUCGCGAAGAUGAAGACUCGACUAGCCAAGAAUGGCUCUGAUACCACUGUGACAACUUGAACUCAAAUAUUUCCAAGAACACAAAAUAUCAAGAAAUGAAAACUAACAUCAGGAAUCGAUUAUUUUGAGCUCAGAAUAACAUUGUUCCGAUUUGUACAACAUGAAAACUCCACAAACCUAACCGUCAAAUAGAUCGGAUAGAGGCAGCUACUUCAAUGAACAAAAAAACUACCUAGAAAACUGAAUACAACCUCUCGAAUUCAAAUCGAAGAAUCACAAAGAUUCAAUACACACAAAUCUAUCCCAAAAACCAGAAGUUUAAGGGUUACACGAAGUUCACAAAGAAGUUGAAUAAGAGGAGACACGAAGUCGAGAGAGAGAAUCCAAAAGCUUCUAAAAAAGAAAUGAAGAGUCAUUAGGGCAACCACUUAGACAGUAUAUAUAUCAACCAAGUCAUCACCGUUGAUCUUAAAUAGGUGAUCCAAUAGUCCAGAGCAGCACACAUGUCCAUCUCGUUUGGGGUCGGGAUUAGGCCCAUUUCAUGAUUGUGCUAUUGGGCAAUGGUAAUAUAGUAUCUUUUGGGACAAGCCCAUUUUCUUUCAUCAUCGCCCAAAGUGGACUCCGCCAAUUUAAUAGCAUCACAGCCCAAUAGAGUCAACUUGAUUGCACUAUGUAGAGUAGAUCUUCAGCCUUAUCAAUGUCGUGAUUAUGUCAAAAAUUCCACGGCUAAAAUCUUAAAGUGCACUUAAAAAAAGAGAGGCAAUUAUAUGGCACGAAUUUUGCAUAGUACGAUACUCCAAUGAGGCUAUCUUUGGAAAUGUUGCGUACUCUCCAUUCGACUGGGGAUAUAGUAUGGAAAAUGUCUUAGAUGGAAAUAAGUUUUACCACGAGUUGUACAUAUUAUUGGAUAGUCUUCAUAAUUAGACCGUUUAUAAGAGAUCAACUAAGAAAUUUGCCGCUGCAAGUCGAGCUAACCCGGAUUAUCGAACAAUUUAUGGUUUUUUGUCCCCGCAGGAUUGUGUUGAUUGCUUAAAACUGUCUGCGUUAGAGAUUUAACACUGUUGUCGUGGGCCAAGAAGAGUUAGGAUCCUUAGGCCUAGUUGCUAUCUUUGUUUUGAAACCGAUCCUUUCUACAAUGAAACCAUGGUUGAAACAGUACUCUAGCCACCAACAUCUGCACCGUCAGGUAGCAACGUCCUCUUGGUGAAUCCUAUUUUUUCUUUUUACAUAAAUAUUUUCUGAUAUUGUUGAAGGAUAAGUUAUGUUUCUUGGAGUUGGGAGGCGGCACUGGCGGCAGACGAAUUCAAGCAGGAACUUGAGCAGUUAAGUUUUUAUUUUUUAUUUUUAUUUUUUGCUUAUGGUUGAGUUGCUGAAUACAUAAUUGUGUUUCAGUAAAUUAAGUGUUCAGAAGUCUGUAAAUUGGUUAAAUUAAAACACUGAAAUGAGAGAUGAUGAUUUGUGUCCAAACCAGCUUUAUCAAUACUUCUGUAUCAUUAAAUUUUUGCUUUGGCGAAGCACCAAGUGACUUGAUUGACAUAAAAUUAUAUAUGAAGUGGCAACUUUAUGUGAGAAAUUCGGUGUUAUCCUUGUAUGGAAAUUUUCUUUGAUCUGGAUGAAUGAAAGAAAUUCAUAGAGUCCACGAAAAAUUUCACAGUUUCCGCAAUGAAAAAAUUUCUUUCACAGGAAAAUUUAGGGUGCAUUUGAUUUGCCAUUUUCGGUCAUUUUCAAUUUUUAAUUUUGCAAAACAUAGAAAUAUGUUUGGUCUGCUAUUUUUGGAAAUGCAUUUUCAAAAAAGAAGGAAAAAUAUAUAACAUAAAAGUCAAAAGACAUUUUUGAAGUUUUGAGUGUUUUAAUUGAGAAUUCUAAAAACACUCAAGACGUGGAAAAGAAGAGUUCAAAUAAAAUUUUUAUUUUUUUAAAAAAAAUAAAUUUUAAAAAUAAAAUUGAUAAAUUCUAACAAAUUAAAUUUUAAUAAAUUAGAAUUAAAAUUCUGAAAAUAUAAAAUUAUAAAAUUACUAGAUAAAUAAAAAUUAUAAAAAAAUAAAAACAAUACAAACUCUUAAAGAUUAUUUACAAAAAAAAAUAAAAAUUUAAAAAAAAUAAAAUGCUGAAAAUUUGAAAUUAAAAUUAAGUCAUAAUAAUUUCUAAAACAUAAAAAUAUAAAAAUAUAAUUCAAGCUUUUAAUAAUUACUCGAAUACAAUAUUUUUUUUAAGAAAUGUAAACGAACAUGAACAAAAAUAUUUUCAAUCCACAUUAUUAACUUUUAGUUUUAUUGCCUCUAUUUUGAAAAUUCAAUUUUUUGUUUUUUGUUUUUUAGUCUUGUAGCAACGAAAUAUAUUGUAAAAUUCAUCAACUUUAAAAUGUAUAUAUAUUAAUUGAUAAUAUAUAAAUAUAAAAUAAUUCUAUUUUUAUUGAAAUAAUCAAAUUUAAUGGAAUAAAAUGUAAUAAAUCUUUUUUUUUUUUAAAUUUCACACCAAAAGUGUUUUCUAAUUUCUGUUUUGAGAAGUAAUUUUUCAAAAUGACUAAACAAAUGUGUUUUUAGAAAUCUUAAAAUAGAUACUCAAAAUAGAAAAUUGAAAAUAAAUUCAAAACUUAAAAUUGAAAAUCGAAAUAAAAAUCAAAGUAACCCUUAGAGUUCUACAUUUUGAGGGUCUGUUUGGGAGCGAUUUUUCCUCCCAAAAAAUUGAUUUUUUGACCGUUAUUUCACUAUUUCAGCCGUCAUAUUUGACUUUUUUUCUCACAGGUAGACCCCACUUUUCUCUUAAUGGUCAAAAAAUCAAUUCUUAAAAUCACUCCCAAACAGGCUCUGAAUAUUAAAAGGGAUGCUUGAGUAGCAUAUAGUGUUUCUAGGAUUGACUAGCACCUCAUGUGCACAAGGUUUAUUGGAAAUCGUUAAAACUUCAAGCGUGGAUUAAGGACUGUUAAACCAUUUUUAUAUGAAAGAGAAGUGACGUGACUUUUCAAUGGUUACAAGAUUCAAAAAAAUUUAUAACUUUUAUAAAUCAAUAUUAUCAAGUGUUAUACUAUACGACUUUUCUUGCACUUUUUCAUGAAAAUUCUUAUAAUCAAAGCAUGGAUACUUUUAGUUGCACAUAGUAAUAAACUAAUGGGGAUUUCUAAUAUUACAGGAUUCAUCAUCACUUCAAAAAUGAAAUUUAGUAACUGUAUGACAAAUUUCGUAUAUUAAAACACAUAAAUUGUUAAAAAUUAUAUUUUUGAGAAAUACGAGUGGAUAUUAAUCUUCUGGUAAUAGCAGAAUUAUAGAAUUGUAAAAUUCUCCGAUUAAUGAUCUGAAUGUUUGAAGAUGGGAAGCUACGUGACUUAAAUCUUGGAUCUCGUGAUUUGUUGAAAAUUUGAUUUGUUGAGAACUUGGCUUGUUCUUUGUUGUCGAUUCUAUUUUUCGCAAGUAUAUGGAUCAUACAAUUGGUUCAGUUAUUUAUAACUUGAAUUUGAUCAAAAAUAAAUAAAAUAGUUAUUUUUCAUUUUUGUGCUUUUCUAUUUUCAAAAUACUAAAACAACUAAAAGUGAUUUUUUAAUAUGAUGCUUUAAGUGUUAGGAUUCAUGAUUUUACCAUAGUUAUUCCAUAUAAUUGAUUAUGUUUUCCCGAUCGAAUUCUUCUAAUGUAUUCAAUUUAUCCCUCUCAAUUUCUCAUUGAGUUUAUUUAACUGAUGUAAUUCCAUAUCUCUAUACAAAUCAAUCUUAAUUAAACAAAAUUAUGCUUUAAGAAUUCAUGUAACGAUCGCAAUAACUAACAUAAGUAUCUUUAUGUUUUAUACUAAUUAUUGACUUUUAUUAAGUGGUCUGAACAAAUAAUUUGCAUAUCAGCAUAAUUAUUGUUCAUGAAAUCAAUGAAUUAGUGGUCAAUUAAUCCAAAUAUUAAGAAUGGAAGCAAAAUCAAUUCAUAAAAUCAAUUGGAUAUUUAAACUUUUAAUUAAAAAUAUGGUUGAAAACUAGGUUACAAUUAUUCAUCCUGACUAAAUACUUAAUUACACAUCGUGUGAGAAGAAUAAAAUACAAGAAUGAAUUAAGUACAUCAAUGAGUAUUGAAGAAAAAUGAGAAAACGAUAAAACUCUUGCACCAAGAAUCCGUCUCUUCUUGUGAAAUUCUCAAAACCCUAGUUUCUUGAUUGAUUUCUCAAUUUUUUCUUCUUUUUGGCUUAAAUAAUAUAUGUAAUGUACAAUGAUCCCAAGCCUUGGCUUGAAUGUAUGUGUAUAAUGAAAUUCCACAAGCAUCUUUUCAUCGUUUCUUUCUUUUAAUUUCACUUCCAUUCGUCAAGUUUCAGCAAAUAACAUAAUAUAAAAUAAAUUAAGCCAUAAUUUCAUUAAAUAAAUUAUGAAAUGUCCAUAUUUUAGAGCCCGAAUAAGUAUAUUAAAUACACUUAUCAUUCCUCACUUGGAUUUUGGGGCUUAGAUUUGCACUUCAAGACUUGGACUUUAAUUUGAUUUGAUUUAAAGAAGACUUUUGAUCUUUGUGAACUUGCUUGAUUUGAAGAAAGUUCUGAAGAAUAUUUUGAUCUUCGUCAUGUUCGCCAAACUUAAGCUUGAAAUGAUUUCUUCUUUUCAUCCAGCUUUUGGAUUUCUUCAGUAUUUCGUGAUUUUCUUCUGCACCUUCACUUGUGAAAUUUUAUGGACCAAUGAUCUUGUUUAUAGGGAAAAUUUGUAACCAAUUUUGGUAACCACCUAGAGAUGGCAAUAGAAGAGGCAAGGCGGGGCGAGAUCAGGGCAACCUUCCCCGCCACCCGCGCCACUCACCCCGAUACCUGUUUAAAUUUUCUUUUUUAGUUUUUUGAUAAUUUAUUUUAUUUGUUCCUAUUCAUUAAAGUGAGACAAUAAUAUAUUUAUAAUUUUUUAUUUUUUAAAAUUAAAAUUUUCAAAUAUAUUUGGUAGACUAAGGCUUUUAUUAUUUGUUAUAUUCCUUAGAUAAUCUGAGUUGCCAUAUUCUAUUAGAGAAAAUGAAAUUUCGUGGAAUUUUUCAUUUAAAAUAUUGAAUUUUUUGGGAAAAAAUAAACGAGAUAGGGCAUUUAUUUCCCGUACUUGCCCCGAGCGUGAAGUCCUCCAACCCGAAUACCCAUUUAAGCGGAUAAUCCCCGUCUCGUUCGGGGUGGGAUCUGCAGGUAUUGGGUUUGACGGGUUUUUUGUCAUCCCUAUAACAACAAAAUUAUCUUUAAUUAAAAUGAAUGAGUAACUAUGAAUUUUUUGAAAAAGUGGGAUAGGGAGUUUGAAUUUUAUAAACCUUAGUAAACUUGAAUUAAAUAAACUUAAUUGGACCAAUUAUUUAAAUCAACUCAAUUCAUAAAUUAUUUUUAUUUAUUUAUUUUUGUCUACAGUAAUCAAGAUAAAAUUUCACUAAAAAAUUAAUUGACCAUGAGUGUAUUUAAUCAUUUACAAAUCAGUAAAUUGUUAAAAUGAAAUAUAUAUUAAACAUGCGAUAUUAGACAUAGCUACAGUAAUAAAAUUGUAGAUAUUGAUUUUUUUUUCUCAUUUAACCGUCUACCUCUAGUCAAUAUGAGUCAACUCAAAAAUAAAACAAAAAUAUAUGAAUAAAUCUAAUUAAGACUGUGUAUCAAUCUGUAGCUCUUGUUCAUAGAAGAAAAAUCUUGUUGAAUGAUUAAUGACGGAUGACGUCAGCCUGCUAACUUUUUGUUAUGUGCGCGAUUUUUCAAGUCAAUCGUCAUUUAAAGCACACAAGUUGGUUUGAAAUUUCAUCAUGGAAAAUAUAAUUCAUUGUUUUCUUAUAAUUCCGGAAUUGAUUUUGAGUUACGUUUAUUAAACUUAUUUGAAUGUUAAUUAAUUAUUUGUUUAUAAGCAAUAAAUGAAUGAUUUAGUGUUAAUUUUUAUCGAGAGGUAAUAUUGUCGCAAUAAAUGAAUGAUUUAGUGUUAAUUUUUAUCGAGAGGUAAUUCUAACAAGAAUGCAUGGUCAAUAUUUUCCUUGCUUCCGUGAACAAGGUAGAGACAAGUCCGUUGUGUGCUAAAGAGAAUGUUAUACUGAAGCUGUAUUGAACAAUAGGCGUUGUUGGGUUGUUUGCCCAUAUAGUAUAAUUUUGCUGAUGUAAAAAUGAUAAUAUUUUUCUAUUGAAUAAAAAAUUAUGUUUACUUUAUUUAUUGCAUUUAUUAAUUAUUGAGCAUGCGAAAUUAAAGUGCAUGUGAUCACUUGUGAUAAUAUGAGUUGGGUACUUGCGUUGAGAAGUACGGUAUGACACAACUUAUAUUUUGAUCAUAAAUAAUUUGUUCACAAUCUAUGUAUAAGAAUUGAUAUCUUAUAUUGGAAGGUUUUAGUGUUGACCAGUUCAUUAUUCGGGUUUGUGAUUUGUCCUUAUCACAGAAAUAGUUAAAGUUGACACUAGUAUACUUGGAGUAUAUUGAACAGACAGCGUGUCAAAUUUAAUUUUAUAGCAUGACUGCGAGGAGAAUUAAAUGAAUAGAGUGUACACUUGAGUAUUUUUUGUUGAACGGUUAAAAUCUGAGCUCAAUGUUUAGCAACAGCUAAAUUUCAACAUCUGUGAUUUAUUCAUAUGACCAUUGAAGAAAAUAAAACUUAAGUUAGUUAGAAUAGUUAGAGGGGUAAAACGGUCAUUUAUACUCGUACCUAAUUAUCGGAUCUCAGAUGAGGAUAAAAUACAUAUACGACAGGUCAGAGAAAAGUACUACAGAUUUAUUGAUUUCUGUGAUCUUAUAUAUUUCAAGAGUUCGGUCUUUUGCUUUUAGUGGAAAAAAACAUAGACUAAUAAUUAGAAUGAGUGGUCUAGGGUCGACUAGAUGAGAUCUAAUUAUUGGAGCUUGGAUAAUAUAUGUCCGAUCAGGUCCAUAUGGUAACUCCAUAAAGUAUUGGAACUUAAUUAUGGUAAUUAUGAUAGUUUUGGGCUUAAUUGUAAUUACAAUAAAAUUUUGUAUUUGAUUGUAAUUACUAUGAAAGUUACAAACUUGAUUGUAAUUGUAAUUAAAGUUCUAGGAUUAUACAUGCAAUUAAAUGUAAAAUAAUUGGAAUUGGACUUAAAUUAAAAUUCAUACUUGGGUUUUAAUCAAAACUCUUGUUUGAAUGUUGAAUUAUAAUUGUACUAGAAUUGUAUCAUCUUUUUCUCUAUAAAUAGAAACUAGAUGGAUAGAAAAAUACUACAACAUUCAUAAUUCCAUAAAAUUCAAAUUUAGAGAGAGAAAAUAUUUUAUUUUCUUGUUGUCCAAAUUCAAGAAUUAGUUUCUGAAUUAAUUAAAAGAAGGUGCCCACACAUUAGUGUAGUUUUUGCGUUGGAGAAUAUCAUAGAAUGCUUGAAGGUUUGAAGUACCAAGAUUCUUGCAAUUAAAGGAGUCGAAAGUUCGCGGAUCAGAUUUAAUUCAAAGUUGAUCAUUGAAUUUGGGUAAAAUAUUCAAAUCCUUUAAUUUUGUUAUAACAUACAUGUGAACAUUUAGAUGAUCCUAUUUAUUGGAUUAAAGAAAAUUUUAAUUUCUAGUUAAUUGCGCUUCCUCAUUCUAAAAGUUCAUACCUAGGGAGAACUAUAUUUUCCUUCUUGAUACUUGAUGAAGAUUGUAUUUUAGUAUUUUAUGAAAGAUUUAAUUAAGGAUAUAUUGUGCAUAUAUCAUCGUUGUGCAUAUUUCAUAUACAUUGCUUCCUAUCAGUCUUGAAAGUUGAUUGACUGGUAAAAAUUGAGUUUGCCACUUCAGAAUUUCAAGACCUCAUGAUCUAUAUAAACAACUCAACAUUUAUUGUAGGUAGCCAGCUUUGACAAAAGUAAUUGACUCUGUAUUGGUGAAAUAAUCUGACCUAGUACUUAUUGGUGAACUCUGAAUCUGAUUAAUACACUAGCGAACUCUAGUUUUAAAUGGAAACCUAUAGAACAUCCUGUGAGAUCUUGACAAUCUAGAAAGUGUCUAUAUAUUAAUAUGUUGAUUCUGAGAAAUUGAUUCACUAUCUUUUUAGUGUCUCAAUAUUCUGAGAGGCUAAAAAUCAAAAUGCCUAGAGAGUUGCAGAAACGUCUAAUAAUUUUAGAACAACCAAUCCAAUUCCACUAUAGGUUAAUUUAUAUUAGAUCUAAAAAUUACAACUGGUAUUAGAUAGGAUGACUCAACUCUGAGUGUCGAUUCAUAGAUCUAAUUAUGAAUGGUACCAUUAGAUUAUGUUGUUCGAACAUUCGCAUGAAAAUGUACCACAAGGCCAUUGAUGAAAGAGUCUGGACUCGGGAAUGCACUUGAAUUUGGGUAUGAACCUCCCACUAAUGUGGCCUUUAAAACUAAAUAAAGGCAUUGGCAGGGCGGAACAAGAUUCUGCUAAAAAUGGUGAUGACUCACCAAACGCAAGCAAGUCCAAACCUUUUUUUUCUUAUAAAUUAUAUUUAUUUUUUGUUAUUAAAUUUAUUAUUCACUAAUUUUCCCCACAAAAUGUGUUCUAUUAGACAUGUCAUCCAUUACACUCAUUGCAAGAAAAUUAAAAUUUUUUUUUUUAUCAUUAGUAAAGUUUAGCAUAUUAUAAUUUCUCAUUUAACAUAAAUUUCUUUAUUAAUAUAUCAUGUUCAUGUUCAUGUUAAUUUUGAAAUGUAGGGUAAAUUUAAUAUACCACUUUUAAGCCAAAAACAUCAAAUAAAUGAACUUGAUAUAAAAGAAAUAAGAAAACGAAUAAAAGAUGUUUUUUUGGGUUUAAAAUUAAAUCAAAGUUUUUUUUUUUUUUUUUUCAUUUUAAAAGUUAAAAUCNNNNNNNNNNNNNNNNNNNNNNNNNNNNNNNNNNNNNNNNNNNNNNNNNNNNNNNNNNNNNNNNNNNNNNNNNNNNNNNNNNNNNNNNNNNNNNNNNNNNNNNNNNNNNNNNNNNNNNNNNNNNNNNNNNNNNNNNNNNNNNNNNNNNNNNNNNNNNNNNNNNNNNNNNNNNNNNNNNNNNNNNNNNNNNNNNNNNNNNNNNNNNNNNNNNNNNNNNNNNNNNNNNNNNNNNNNNNNNNNNNNNNNNNNNNNNNNNNNNNNNNNNNNNNNNNNNNNNNNNNNNNNNNNNNNNNNNNNNNNNNNNNNNNNNNNNNNNNNNNNNNNNNNNNNNNNNNNNNNNNNNNNNNNNNNNNNNNNNNNNNNNNNNNNNNNNNNNNNNNNNNNNNNNNNNNNNNNNNNNNNNNNNNNNNNNNNNNNNNNNNNNNNNNNNNNNNNNNNNNNNNNNNNNNNNNNNNNNNNNNNNNNNNNNUUAGCAUGAUUACAAUUAAAUUCAACAAUUGAUAUCAGAACCUUUAUGCUAAGAUUAGAAUGCGUCAUUAAAACAAUAUUUUUUCUUUGAUUGAAUAAUUCUUAAGUUUCCACUACCCGUCAAUUUAAAUCUUUGGAAAUGUCAUGUUUUCAAAAAUUUGAAAUUGAAAAAAAUAAUAAUAAAAAAUGAGAAUGUCGCACUAAUGUUUCCACAUUCUCUGUGCAUAUAUUGUAUACAUAUACAAACUGCACAAUGAAUAUUGUAUGUGGAGGGUGACAAAAUUGGGGAUUUUCAUGACCCACAGAAAGCGAAACGACAUGUGGCUGUGCAAUUGCUUUACUGUGAUUUUGUAAUUGUUUUGUUGUGAUUUUGUAAAGAAUUUUGCAAUUGUUUUGUCGUGAUUUCGUAACUCCGUGUCAAUCAGGGGUGGAACCAUGAAUAUUUUUCAGUGCGGGCAAAAUUUAAUCAAUGUUUGACACCGAGUUUUUGAGGCCUAAGAAUGACCUUUAAUUUGGACCCUUAACUAAUCUAUAAACUCAAAGGAUUUAUUUAACUUAACUAAGUCUUUGCUAUUAACUAAAUAGCUUGGAGACUGACUUUGGAGAAUUGGAGCAAUUCAGAUAACUUAUUAUCCACUAUCAAUAACAUUCAAAGAAUAAGAUACUUUUCUCUUUCUAAACAUUAGUAAUAAAUUUUCUACAUUCGAGUAGGAGGAAGAUGGGCUAUUCCACUCUCAAGAGUUUUCUUCAACAACCAGUUUUGAUCCAAGACACUUUCACUGUAGUGUCCGAGUAGAUACUGUUACUUUCUCUCGAACAAUAGAUUCAAGAUAACAUGAAAAUUUAUUGAUUGUCACCAGAUUCUAAAUUCUAAAUCCUCAACCUUCUCGCAGCAAAUAAUUGAUAAACAAGUAUACAUAAGGUAAAUUGCAAUAGAGCAUUGUAUUAAAGGGAAAAUUCUUUCAUUCUUCUCAAUGCUUGAGGACUAAUCUCUUCUUCCCGCCAUUGCAAUAGAGCAUUGUAUUAAAGGGAAUAUUCUUUCAUUCUUCUCAAUGCCUGAGGACUAAUUUCUUCUUCCUGCCCUUUGAUAUCUCCACAUCCCAAAACUCCACCUUUAACGCAUCAACCUCCUAAUCCCAUGUUUUACAAACCCCCAAAUAACUCUUCACUUCAAGUAUAAAUUACUCGAAUCAUUUUUCAAUAUCAGCAACAAUAAUGAAUAAAGAAAACCCAAAUAGCUUUAAAGAUUUUACAACAUCUUUUCUACUUCAAGUACUAAUAUUUUCCAAAAAAUAAAAAAAGAUUAAAUACUCAAAAAAGAUGAGCAGAAGAACGCAUUAUGUGGCCCCUGUUAGAUUUAAACACCAAUAUAGUAUGUUAUUAAUGAAGUAAACUAACAAAUUUUAUACACUAACCAAUUAUAGUAUUAUUUAACAACUUAUUCUCUCUUUCUUUCACUCACAACUUACACCACUUUAUUUAUUUAUUUAUUUUUAUUUUUUUUGAGAUGACGGGGGAACCCACAGCCGUUACCCUUUAGGUGCGUACUGGGUAAACCCUCGAGCUAAGACAAUAGCCUACAAACCACGCCAGCCAUGUAAACCGCAUUAGGCAAGUCCUGUGCGAUAGGCUCGACCAAGAAAGUGUUGGUAAGGGGAAUCGAACUCGUAACCAAAGGCCUCCACGCUCACCUACUCCACCAACUCGGCCAUCCCAUGAGGGGAAACUUACACCACUUUAUAUAUAUGUUUCCUGCCUCUCUCACUCACGUAAUUACAUACAGUAGAUAAAUAUAUAUAUAUAUAGGCAGAAUAUGGCGGUGCAAUUAUGGCCUGGCUUUGUCUUCUACAUGGUUCUUUAAUGUCGGUGAAUAGAAGCUCCAUUAUUCUAGAUAAUUCUUCCAAUAAAAUCAGCACUAAUCCUUUCCAGGUUCUUCUACAAAUGGCGACGAUGGCUGCAUCCCCAAUUUAUCUGGAUAAUUCUCCAGCCUCCUUGAAGAAGAAGUUUCAAGAAAUAAGAUUAAUGAACCACAUAAAUCUAGAAUUUUCUUUGAAGUAGGUGUUGUAUCUUUAGCCCCUCUAGAAGAACUUAGUGAUUACAGUGCACUUGCUCCAUUGCUUGACCUUCAAAGCAGAAGAAAAUUUUGCCCCUCAGCAAUAUGUCACAAGUAAAGCUGGACUGGGUUUAGCUCCCAAGUUCAGUGCAGACAGAAAAGUUGGAUUGUGUUUGGCUCCAAAGUUCAGUGUAGGUAGGUGCCUGCACUAGACUCUUCAUGGCUCCGCCCCUGAUGUCAAUGAAGCUAUAUGGAUUUCUAGUUUCUGGGUUACGGGGUAUGUGGUUGGUUGACAAGAGGCUUUGUCCGGAGAACACACUAUAAUUUGAGGAUCUCUAAAAAUUCUGCAAAACUUAUGUUGGUUUGUGUUGACUCCAGAAUAUGUUGCGAACAGAUACCGAACACACUCGCACAUAUUUAAGCCUGGUCCAACAUGCUAAAACACGUGGACGAUCUAGAACUAGUAGAGCAAGAGCUAGGAGCGACUCAAAUGCGCUGGAUGAGAACGUUCGGCAUUCGAUGAGAUGUUUGCAUAACGAUUGUACAAUAAUUACCAAUUGAUGUUUCUGGAAUACGCGUAUGAAUUCGUGUAUGUUGCAAGAGAGUAAAAUGUAAAGAAUGUUGUAUUUGUUCUUGUGUUGAAUAUUGCCUUAGCCUUUGUAUGGAGUACAUGAGGGAGUAUUUAGAAUGUUACAAGUUAGAUCAUGGCCCUCGGUUGGGAAUACACGUGGCCUCAUCUUCUUAAUUUACAUGUCAAACUGUAGGUUUCAAGUUUGACCUCCUAGCCUGCUAUACAUUUAUUAAUUAGGAGAGCCGCCUCUACUUUGACAAAACAAGACACUGGCACUUUAUGAUGGGUGUCCCAUUAAUCAUUCAAAGAGGGUCAUUGUGUAAGGCCGAAUCUCUGUGGAGAAGUGAUGCAAGAGGCGCUUCAAGGCUUGGACUUCGGCAUGAUGGGCCUUAGUAUGAACAUCCUCGAAAAUAUGAACCACUUAGGCUAUAGCACUUUUUUAUUACAGAAUUUGGGCCACGUCAUAGGUCGUGUUUCGAGUGGUUCUUGAUUUUUUAUGGGCUUCAAGGCCUCGGCUACUAUGUCACGUAGUUCGAUAUAGGUGGCACAUGUGCCUCAUCGAGUUGGCCAAGUGUGUCAGCACGUAACAAUAGUCCUCCAAGUCCAAGUAUAAUCAUUUAUGUAAUGCGUGGACUUUGAUGAAGUAAAGCUAAUUUGUUGGAAGAAUUUUUUAACCCUAAAUAAUAGUCUUCCAAGUCUAAAUAUAGAUAUUUAUAUCAUGGUUAGAGUUAAAAGUAUUCGUGUUGAAAUAAUAGAUGAAUUGUGAUGAAGAAGCUGAGGUGGUGAGUUAAUCAAAGCUGCGGAGGCUUGUGAAGAUGCGACUGAAUUGUGAUGUAGAAGCCAAGGCGAUGAGUGAAUUGAACUUGUCGAGGUUUGUGAAGAUGUGGCUAAAUUGUGAUGAAGAAUCUGAUGUUGUGAGUUAAUCGAACCUGCCAAGAAUCGAACUUGUCGAGGUUUGUGAAGAUGCUAAGGCUCACAGUUAAUGAUUGUUCCUAGAUCGAUGUGCCAAUGAUUUGAUGUUUGUGCAUGUUUUUGAGAAAAGGCAGCUGAACCGUUUGGACUUCCAAGGCACGUACGACUGCUACAUUAAAGGUGCAAUGAUGGCUACAGCUGGAGUUUCUAUAAGAUGACAUGUUGGGAGUGGUUCAUGUGAGACACGUUUGAAUUUGAGCCAUUAACCUUAGAGACAAUUUGAAUUCGCUUCGGAUUAGAUCAGUAAAUGAAGGGCUGGGAUUGGAUGGGCCUCAAUCCAAUGGUUGGGGUUCGUCUUGGCUAUGUAUAAAAGGCCAGGAACUCCCAUUUUGAACCCUUCUUCAUCCGAUUUCUCUGAUUUUUCUCUACAUUUUCUCAAACUUCCGUUGUCCAGAAUCUUGGUUCGAUUUCAUCUUCCAGCGUUUCUCAGUUCUCUGUUCCUUAGUAAUCUCUGAAGGCAUUCCAUUUUUCCAUCAAAAUUUGUGAUUUUGUGUUUGUCGAUAUAAAUGGUAUCCAGUUCCGGCAGGGAUUUAGUCACCAUUACUAGGUUGGGGGUUAAGGAAAUGCUUAGGGAGGAUUCUGAGGCCGGGCAUAUUGCCAUGGUCGAGGAACCAAUAGAUUAUAAUGAGAAGUGGGGUACGUCUAGGAUAUCUUCAAAUAUAACCUCGAGGGGGUGUGAGGAGGAGUUGGCCACAGCUUUGUUGGAUGCGCUGCCGACGGAGGUCCGAAGUGCAACAGAAAGUUUUUACAAGUUCUGGACUGAUCGACGACAGCUGCAUGCCUCAAGUUGUGAUGCUUUGGACCUCACUAGGGUUUUGGUGAGUCAAAUUGUAACGACUCUAGGCCUCGCACUUGAGUGCAGGGAGAUGCUCGUCGACUUCCAGAUGAGGAAUAAGUCCUCGAGGGACAUUUUGGCCUCGACUGAGGAAGAGCUGAAGAAAAUAAAGGCUGAGGCAAAGGAGAUGAAAGCCCAAAAAGUUGAAGAUAGUGCCAAGUUGUAGUCUGCCUUGGCCCAAAUCGAGGCCUUGAAAAGAGGUUUAAGAGUCGCGGUGUGAGGUGGCCUCCCUCACAAAGAAGGUGGAGACUUCCAAUAAUCACCAAAAGCUAACUGUCGAGGCCUUAGAGAGGGCUAAAAAGGAAUUAGCGAGGGCCUAGGAGGCACACAAAUUUUUGGACAACCAAAUAAAGUGGCAUGUUGACGAGGUAAAGAAGGCAAGAGAGGAGGCCAAGGUGGUGAGGGAGGAGGCAGUUAAGGAUUAUAUUGCCAACUUCCACAUCACUGACGAGUACCAGCGCUUUAGCUUGUAUUGGAGGAGUUUCGAUUACGCUGAAGUGUUGGAUAGGGUUGAGGAGCUUUACCCAAACAAUAAUCUAACUUAACUAAAGUCGAAGUUUGUCGACGAAGUUUCCCAGACUCCUGCUGAGGAAGUAGUCGGUGAUGAAGCGGCUGAAGAGAAUGAAGAAGACACUUCUGAAGCUCAAGCUGUGGAGGCACCUGCUGUCGAGGCACCCCCACCAUCCACCUAAGCGUAAUGUAGUUUACUUCUAGUUUUAAUUCUAUAUACUGGCCUUAAUCCCACCUCUUAUAAUAUAUUCAAGAUCAAUGAAUGCCACGUUUUGCAACAUUCUGUUCAUUUUCUGAUAUAUGUUGUUUUUUCUUCCAAGUAAAUUGGCCUCGCCAAGUAAUCGAACUUAAGGAUGAGUUAAUAAUUUGAACUCGAAAUAAUAACCCAAGCCAUGUGAUUGAUGUCUCAACAAGGAUUGAACUUAGGCGUCAUCACUUAAGCAGAUUCAAUAACCUCAUAACUUGAGUGAUAACGCAUGAGCCUAGUAGUGCAGGAUCUGAGCAGAGGCUUCUCCCCUUAGCGCUCAAUCUCGUCAAAGGAGGCAUGUGGCUUACACCUCGGAGUUCAAGCGAGGUGACCCAGAGUUAGGAUCUGGACCUCUCAUUCGAGGUGCCCACUCUUUCUUACAUGAUAGAUGGUGUAGCCAUGUAGGGGCUUCUCCCAUUGGCGUUCAACCUUGUCAAAGGAGGCAUGUGGCGUACGCCUCAGAGUUCAGGCGAUGUGACCCGAAUUUAGGAUUUGGACGUCUUCUCCGAGGUGUCCACGCUUCUCUACAUGAUGGAUGAUGCAACCAUGUAGGGGCUUCUUCCAUUGGCAUUUAGCCAUGCCAAGGGAGGCAUGUGGCGUAUACCUCGGAGUUCAGGCGAGGUGACUCAGAGUUAGGAUCUGGACCUCUCCUCCGAGACGCCCAUGCUUGAGAAAUUUGUUGAACUUAAGCAAACUAGAAAUUUGUUGAAAUUUGAAAUAUGAUACACGAGCUGGAAAAGGUCAUCUAGCAAGGCGGUACAGUCACUGAUAAUAAAUUUGGAGACGCUCAAUGUUUCAUGGACGAGGUUGUUCCCUGCCAUCCAUGUAUCCAAUCCAGUAUAUAUCGGGUCGAAUUUCUUCCCUAGUUUUAUAGGGGCAUUCCCAGUUUGGACCUAAGGUACCUGCGCCUUGUUCCUUGGAGGAGAGGAAGACCCUCAUAAGGACUAGGUCAUUGAUUCGAAAGGACCUUUUCUUCACCUUGGAGUUGUAGUACUUGGUCAUCUUCCUUUGAUAAGUAGCGAGCCUCAGUUGGGAGUCAUCUCUUCUGUCAUUAAUGAAGUCAAGGUCGUUCCUCCGUAGCUCGUCAUUGGUUAUUUUACUAAAGUGCAGGCGACGUGGUUAUGGUAUACCAACCUCGACAGGGCUCAUGACCUCAGUGCCAUAAGCCAUGAGGAAAGGAGAUUUCCUAAUGGGAGUCCUUGUGGUAGUUCAGAUUGCCUAAAGCACUUGUGGCAGCUCAUCAACCUAGGCCCUCUUUGACGAAUCCAAUUUCCUUUUGAGAACGUGCUUGAUUGUCUUGUUUACAGCCUCAACCUAGCCAUUUGCUCAGGGGUGAUGAGGUGUGGAGAAGUGAUUCUUGAUACCAAGUUCUUCGUAUAAGUUCCUGACCUUUUAAUUGUCGAAUUGUCUUCCGUUGCCUAAGACUAUGGAGUGGGAAAUUCUGAACCGACAUAUGAUGUUCUUCCACAAGAACUUGGAAGUGUUUGCUUUUGUGAUUUUUGCCAGUGGUUCAGCCUCGACCCAUUUUGUAAAGUAAUCAAUGGCCACUAUGGCGAAGUUCGUGCCUCCUCUACCUUUCAGUAGGGGACCUACGAGGUCCACACCCCACUUGGGGAAGGGCCAUGGGCUGGAGAUGGAGGUCAGCUCCUGUGAGGGUUGCCUCUGAAUGGGAGAGACAUGUUGGCACUUGUCACAUUUACGUACGAAUUGAAUGGCAUCCUUUUUCAAGGUGGGCCAGUAGUACCCUUGCCUCAACACCUUUUGUCCCAAAGCUAGUCCUCAUGAGUGGUUGCCACAAACACCUUCGUAGACUUUCCUCAGAAUAUAGGUGGCCUCAUCUUCCCCUCCCCCCAUACAGUGAAGAACGAGGGAGGAGAAGCUUCUUUUGUAAAGUGUGUCAUCAAUGAAGAGGAAAUGAGCUAACCUCCUUCUCAUUUUGUAGGCCUCGUCCUUAUUAGUGGGAAGUACCUGGUCUUUUAUAUAGGCUAUAAUGGGCUGCAUCUAGGUAGGAAUUCCUUCCAUCCACAUCACAUCGGGGGCCUUGGUAGAUGGUUUGAGGAGGUGUUCAAUUGGUACCAUAGCGAGCAUCUCAGAGUCCCUGCUACUUGCAAGUUUGGAGAGUGCAUCUGUAUGUGCAUUUUCAACACGAGGGAUCUAGAUUAGUUCAAACUUUUCAAAAGAUGGGAGGAGGUUCAUCACCAUCUUCAAGUAGGAGGCCAUGGUUCUGUCCUUAGCUGAGAAGUUACCAUUCAUUUGGCUUACAACCAGCUGGGAGUCACAGUUGAUAAGUAGCCUCAUGACUUGCAUUUUUUUUUACUAAUUUGAGGCCUGCAAGGAAUACCUCAUACUUGACAACGUUGUUGAUGGCCUUAAACCCGAACUUCACAGAUGACUUUAGCUUGUGACCCUCUGGGAUUACCAGGACCAUCCUAGCUCUUGAACUUGUCUCCAGUCUAACCAUCCAUGAACAAGUUCUACGUAGGGGCCUCAACAAGCUCCAUAACUUCUUCCACUUCGGGUAUAUUGGUAAAUUCAGCCAUACAAUCAGCUAAGGCUUGACCUUUGAUGGCUGCCCUUGUUUUGAAGACAAUAUCGAAUUCACUUAGCUCCACUACCCAUUUUAGUAGUCUCCUCAAGGCAUCAGACUUCUAAAAUACCUGCCUCAAGGGGAAGUUUGUAAGCACAUGAAUGGUGUGAGCCUGGAAAUAGGGCCUCAACUUCUUAGAAGCUGCUAUCAAGGCCAAGGCAAGUUUCCACAUAUCAGGGUAGUGAGUAUCAGGAGAUAGGAGUGUCUUACUCGUGUAAUAAACGAGGAGUUGAGUGGUUCCUUCCUCUUGGAUUAGUACUACGCUAAUGGCCUCACUAGAGAUGACUAGGUAUAGUUGAAGAACAUCGUCGGGCUUUGGCUUGGAGAGGAGUAGGCCAGCCCUAGAUGCCUUUUGAGGCCCUGAAAGGCCUCUUCAUACUCCUUCGUCCAUUGAAACUUCUUCUGGACUUUCAAUACUUUAAAGAAUGAGAGACAUUUAUUGGUAGCCUUGGAGACAAAGUGGCUGAGCGCUACCACCCAUCCAGUUAGGUUUGGACUUCUUUUGGUUUCUAAGGUGAUCUCAUCUCGAGCAGGGCAAUGAUCUUUUAGGGGUUGGCCUCAAUUUUUCUUUGAUUGACCAUGUACCCCAAGAAUUUGCCGGAGGCAACUCCAAAAGCGCACUUAAGGGGGUUGAGCUUCAUUCUGUAUCUUCUUAGGAUUCGAAAAGUGUUAUUCAAGUGCAUCACAUAGUUGUCUGCCUUCAAACUUUCCACAAGCAUAUCAUCCACAUAGACUUCCAUUGUCUUGUCGAUAAGGUCCACAAAUAUUUUGUUGACAAGCCUUUAAUAUGUAGCCCCAGUGUUUUUCAACUUGAAGAGCAUCAUUUUGUAGCAGUAAAGGCCUCUGUCAAUGAUAAAGGAGGUGCUCUCCUCAUCGGCUGAGUAUAUGGGGAUCUGAUUGUAGCCUGAAUAGGCAUCCAUAAAACUUAGGAGCUCAUGCUCGGUGGUGGAGUCAACUAACUGGUCGAUCCUAGGAAAUGGGAAGCUAUCUUUAGGCCAUGCUCUGUUAAGAUUCAUAAAGUCAAUACAUACCCUUCAUUUACCUUUGUGCUUCUUGACAAGCACGGGAUUGGAGACCCACUUUGGGUGGACGGUCUCUCUGAUGAAGCCAUUCUCGAUUAGCUUCUGUACUUCCUCCUUCAGGGCCUCAUACCUCUUUGGGUUGAGGGCUCUUCUCUUUUAUCUAUACGAGACAACCUUAGGAUCAAUUUUCAAGUGGUGGCAACUGACCUUAGGGUUCAUGCCUACCAUGUCCUUGUGCAUCAAAGCAAAGACCUCAAGGUUUAUACAUUAUAGUCCUUCAGGUUUUCUUUCAAGUCAUUGGAUAAACCCUUGCCCACUUUCAACACUUUAGUAGGGUCCUGAGGGUCCACCGAGAAGUUCUCGAGGUCACCAACCGGGGUUGUUUGAUGUUUAUCCUCAGUCACACGAGGGUAAAUCUCGUCUGGCAUGAGUUACUCUUCCCACUCAGGAAAUGCAUCGAUCAUUUCAAUUUCUUCUCUUUCGGGAACUUCUCUUGAGACGUCUAUCAUGUCGAUGUCAGUUAUGAAAACAUGGACGUCUUACAGAGCUACCAUUGUCAACUAGCAUUCUCUUGAGAAUGUUCUGGGCCACAACGGCCCUUACCACAAGUACAUCGCAGUGGGGGUAGUGAACUUCCUCAGAGUUUUCUUGACCGAAGACGAUGGGUGGCGCUUGAUUUCUUCGAGAGCUGCUGCCUACAAUGUAGCUGGUCAAUGGGGGAUGUUUAGCCUCCUGAGCUUAGUUCCUUUUUGUGUUUCGUGUCUCGGUGCCAAAUAUAGUAUCCACCUCGUGAAUGGGGACUUCUUCUUGGGCCUGGUGGCCUCUACGAUCCCUGGGCCCUUCUGCAUAAUGCUCCCUCCUGCAGGGAGAUGUAUCCCGUUGGUGGGAAGCGACCAUCUCACUCCAAGGUUGCUGAUCAUACCUAGGUGGGGGCCUGUUCACCUGGGGCUAUUCAUUUCUUCAAUCCUAGGGGUGUUCCCGUCGGGUGUGGUGUGCAUAAUCUCAACAAUUGGUGGUAUCAUGGCUGUACGAGUGAUGGUACGUACAAUACUCAAGGAGAUUUUGGUUCGACCUAUUCCUAGGUCCUAAUCCGUGCCCUUGGCCUCUCCCCCUACGAGGGGCCUGUUAUGAAGUUCCGACCUACUGAGUGUUGGUCAUGGGAUUGACAUCUUCGUAUGCCAAUGUCAGAACUGCAUUCAAAGUAGUGGUGGCAAGUGCUUGUCCAGAAUUUUCAUUACUACCUUGGUUCAUCUGGUAGUCCAUCAAGUGGGAGGUCGACUCUCUGGCACAUUGCCUUUGCUAAGGUGGAAAGCCUCUGGUAGUCCUUAUGCUCCUGUCUCAUGUCUUGAAAAUGUUGGAUAGGGGCCUCUCCUUCAUUACUCAUAGCGAACCUCUUCAGGAAGGUGGUUUUGAAUUCUGGCCAACUUCUUAUGCGCCAAAGUGGUAGCCUACUACACCAAAUUUCAGCCGCUCCACUAAGUGUUAAAUGGAAGGCCCUGCACUUCACUAUCGGAGUGGCUCCUCUCAGGCUCAUAUGGGUCUUAUGCUUCUUUAGGUCGCCUCUUCCAUCGUAUUUUGGUAUCUUAGGCAUAAUAUAGUGGUCCGAUACCUGGGCGCUCCUUAACUCCCUUGAAAAUGGUAGAUUUUCAUCAUCAUCAUCCAAGUCACAAGACCUUUGCUAUUCAUCUGAGUCAUUGUUCUCAUCGGCUUCAAAUCUGGGUGGUGGAUAUGAAGGACUGGCAUGGUUCCUAGCCUCCUCUUCCCUUCUUUGGCACCUAUUUCUAGGUGGAGCAUCACGGGGGGCAUUUUUAUGCCUUUACUCGGAUUACCGAGUCAUUGGAAGUGGGGGCUUUAGCCUUGCUCGUGGCUCUUGAGGCUGUUGUUGUUGCCUAUGCCUCAAUUUGGCUAGGCUAAUUCUAUCAAAAAUGUUGUUUGACCUCCUGGGUUUUUGUUCUAGCUCAUAUGCGGGUAGGAAGUUAUAUUGGUUAUAUGGGACCUUAGUAGGUCGGCCUGAAGCAUAGUUGGAAAAAAACGUCAAUUUCUACCUCCCUUUCCAGGGGUAUACCACCUUGGUUGUAUUCCGGUAAUGCAACCCUUUGGCUUUGGACCUCUUCCUCUUGUUAGUACUGCUAUUGGGGUGCAUAAGGAAGCAUGGGAAAACCUCCCUGGCCCUAUAUCAUGGCCAUUUUUUGGUUUGUAAUGUCCCUCAUAUUCGCGACCAUGGUAGCCAUCUCUCUUGAGAUUUGGGUAGCAAUUCUUGUACCACCUCUCUUGUGAUGGUGGUGGGGCCUGCGACAAGCUGUUGGGGCUGUUGCCAAUGGGACUACCCUUGUGUUUUCUCUUACCCUCCUAGAGGAUAUAUCCUCAUCUGAACUCAUACUUCUAUGUUUCAGUUUCAAAUUUCGUCCAAGUUAUGGGGCUCCUUCUUUUUCUUUUUCAAGAAAAAAUCCUUUUUCAAGGGGGAUGUUCAAAUGUUCUUUUCAAUAAGCUUCCUCUGCACGGUUGCUCAUGGUUAUAGUAUAGUUUCGCACAGAAGGUGUCAAUCUGUUGACCCUAGAAUAUGUUGCCAACAGAUGCCGCUCUCACGCCUUUGCUCUACUAGUUUUAGACCGUCCAUGUGUCUUAGCGUGUUGGACUAGGCUUACGUGUGUACGGGUAGGUCUGACAUCUGUAGGCAACAUAUUAUGGGGUCAAUAGUUUGCAUACCUCUAUAUAACAUAGAAUUUUAUUGUUCAUAAAUUAUUAGGUCCGAAGUCACCACUUGCACCGAUGUACUGCACAAGGCAACCUGCGGCGAGAAGAAAGAAAUGUGGCUGGAACCGCUGCCGCCGCCCUAAAAUUCUUCCAUGGUCCUAGGGUUUUCAAUAGACAUAUGGGUGUUUUGGUGAUGGGGCUCCUAUUGCAAAUAGUCUAGUUUUAAGCUCCUAUCUGCAAUUAGAAAUUGGAGUUAUGUUGUACUUUUCAAAAUAAGGACUUGCCACGCAAUUUUAAAUAUUGAAGGACCUAGUUUUAAUUUUAAAUCUAGGGUUAAAAUGUAAUUUUAAAAGGCGUGUCAAGUUUGAACUUUUAAAAGUCUUGACACUAAAAUUUCAAUUUUGACAAUAUAUAUAUAUAUAUAUAUAUAUAUAUAUAUAUAUAUUGACGAUUUUUAUAUUUUUCAUUAAAAUGUUUAUAUAUUUAAAUAUUGCCAUUUUUAUGCCUUUAAAUUUCAUUUUUUGAAAUUUUGUUACCUAUUUCGUCUCUCAAUCACAUAUAAAUUUUUUUCUUUCAUCGAUUGAUGAUUAUGAUUUGUUGCAUAAUUAUUGUUUUGUGAUUGAAUUUUUCAUAGGUAUUGAGAUGAUCCUUAUUUUUCUAUCAAGAGAAAUAUUUUGAAAUAAAAAUGAGUUGUAGCUACCAAAGUGGCACACUCAUUAUUAUUUAUGUGAUUUUCUCUACAAUAAAAAUAUAUAUAUUUUUGCCUAUUAAUUUUGAUCUAUUGCAUAUUCUAUCUUAUCCAAAAGUGUUGUUAUAUAUGAUAUUUUUGGAAAAUGGCAUAAGGUAGUUAAUCAUUUUGCCUUGGUCUAGAAAUCUCCUUCUGUCCAAAGGUAUUAGAAUUUCGAAAGCCAAUGUGAUUUUGUUAACUAACUAUAUGAUGUGUUUUAAGAGUACCUAGUGAUGGCAAAAAAUUCACCCUGAACGAGUUGGUGGGGCAAGGCGAGGCGCCUUGUGAAGGAAAAAAAGAUUAAAAAUAAUUUUAUUGUUAGAUAAUUCACUCGCUAAAAUCCCAUUUUGAAUUUGUAUUUUAUUCUGUAAUAAUAACAUAACUCGAAACUUUGAAAAUGAAAAAAAUUAAAUAAUUAAAAAAUAAAAAAAAUUAAACGGGGUAAAGAGUUGCCCCGUCGCCACCCCUAUCUAAGGCGAGGCGUGGGGCAAGGGCGGGAUGGAGUGGGGGUGCCCGCCCCGUUGUCAUCCCUAAGAGUACCUUAUAGCAUGUUGUACUGUCAGGCCAAACGUGACUUUAUGAUUAUGCAUCUAGGCUUUUACAGUAAUAAAAUUCAUAUCGUUUUGAUUUAAAUUACGAAUUAUAUAAUUAAUAGCCCAUGUUAAUUAGUUGAAUAUUUUAUCAUCCAUUUGAUUGAAUGCAUUAUGAUUGGAUGAUAUUGAGAGUGAUAUUUUAUGUUUUCACAAUUUAUAAUGCCUCAUCUCUUUUGACUCAAUUAUCUGCUAUUGAAACUUUGACUGAGAAUAAUUAUGUAAGAUGGAACGAGAUGUAGAAAUAGCACUUCGUCUUUUGGGCUUGAAUUUUGCAAUGGAGAAAAAGUUUGAGAAACCCACAGAUAAAAACACUGUUGAAUAUGUGGCCAAGUAUGAAAGUGGAAAGUGCCAACAAACUCUAUUUGAAAAUCAUUAAGCGGUCCAUAUCUGAUUCUAUUAUGGGGCUAUCCCAAAUAAUGAAAAUGUCAAAGUUUUAUGGAUAUGGCAUAAGAGAGAAAUUUAUUGAGUUUGAUAAAGCAAAAACUGUGGAUCUAAUGGAUAAAGAUGAAUAUGAAAUAUGAUGACACAAGUGGUAUUAGGGAGCAUGUGAUGAAGAUGAUAAAUAUAUCAUCUAAGCUAAAGGCUCUUAAUAUUUCUAUGGCGGAGCCUUUCCUGGUCUAUCAUGUUUUAAAUAGCCUUCUUAGUCAAUUUAAUCAGCUUAAGGUUGCUUACAAUGCUCAACGAAAUAAAUGGGGCUUAAAUGACCUUAUAGCAGUGUGUGCUCAAGAAGAGUAUAGGAUGCGCUGUGAGUCUGUUGAAACUGUGCAAUUAGCUUUUCAGCUAUCACAGAACUAAGGUCCUUCUCAUAACCAUAAGCCUAAGUUUCAUAAGGGUAAUAAGUCCCAUUGAAAUCAGGAGAAUAAAAAUAUUAGUAGUCUCGAAGGAGUUGUAAAGAAAAAUGAUCAAUGCAAGUUCUGUAAAAAAAAAAAAAAAAAAGGGGUCACUGGCAGAAAAACUGUUUUAAGUUUAAGACCUGGUUGGAAAAGAAAAAGAGUUCUACAGGUAUUCCCUUGGCCUUGGUUUGUUUUGAAUCUUCUUUAGUCGAUAUGCCUUUAAAUUCUUGGUGAUUAGACUCGGAAGCUAGUAUUCAUAUUGUAAAUUCCUUGCUGGGGUUCAUACGUAAAUGGAGGUCAAGUGAGAAUGAAAUGAGCUUGAGCAUUGCAAAUGGAGUUUAAGUGAAGGUUGAAUUCAUAGGAGUAGUGAAGUUGACUUUAGAGUUUGAUUUUUCUUUUGUUUUGGAAAAUACAAUUUUUGUAUCGCAAAUGAGACGAAAUUUAAUUUCUAUAUUGAAACUUGAUGCUUGUGGUUUUACAUUUAAUUUUUGUAAUGAAAUGGUUGAGUUAUUUAAUGAUUCUCGUUUGAUUGGGAAUGACAUUUUAUGUGAUGGUUUAUAUAAAUUGUCUUUGGCUCCUUUUGGUGAAAUCUCGUGUAUUACCAAUGUAUCGAAGAAAAGGGCUUUAAUCCGUGAAUCCUCCUCUAUAAUGUGGCACAAACGAUUAGAUCAUAUUUCAAGGGAUAGAAUGAAAAUAUUGGUAAAAGUUGAGAUUAUUCCCGCUCUAGACUUCUCUAAUUUUGACACCUAUAUAGAUUGUAUAAGAGGAAAGCUAAUUAAGUCUACAAAGAAAUGUUCCACUAAGAGUAAUGUAUUUUGAACUUGAUACAUACUAAUAUUAGUGGACAUUUUCCUUCCACCAUAUGCGAAAACAAAUAUUUCAUAACCGUUAUUGAUGAUUUCUCACGAUAUGUGUAUGUUUACCUAAUUAAUGAUAAAUUUUAUGUACUUGAGAAAUCCAAAAUUUUCAAUCUAAAAGUAGAGAAACAAUGUGGAAAAGGUAUCAAAGUUAUAAGAUCUGACCGUGGUUGUAAAUAUUAUGGUAAAUAUGACGAGUCUGGUCAAAACAUAGGUAAUUUUGCAAAGUUUUUACAAUAGUGGAAUAGUACCUCAAUAUACCAUGCCAGGGACACCUGAAUAGAAUGGUAUUUUUGAAAGAUGUAAUCGAACUCUAAAAGAUAUGAGUAGAAGGAUGAUAAGUAGAACAAACUUACCUGAAUAUCUGCGGGGUGAAACUUUGAAAACUGCAAGGUAUAUUUUCAACAGAGUUCCAAGUAAAGCUGUUGUAAAGACACAUUUUGAAUUAUGGAUAGGACGUAAGCCAAGUUUGGCUUAUUUAAAAGUUUAGGGAUGUUCAGUUGAGGUUAGGAUUUAUAAUCCAUUUGAGAAGAAAUUAGAACUGAAAUCAACUCCUGGUUAUUUCAUUUGGUACGCAGAGAGAUCAAUAGAAUAUAAGUUUUACUGUCCAAAUCAUGGCAUUAGAAUUGUAGAGUCCAUUACUACUAAGUUUUUGGAAAAUGAUUUUGGAGAUAGUGAAAGUUCCACAUUAAGAGAAAUUUUUGUUGAACCAAAUCAAGUUGUUGUUCCAAUUCCUGUUAUAUAGGAAAGAGUUAGUUCUCAACCAAUUGAAAUUGUCAAUGAAGAAUCAAAGAACCAAGAGGAACUUCCAAUCCCUCAAACAAUGAUUGAAUCGUUUUCUGAGCUACAAGAUAUGAGAUCACAAAGGGAAAGGAGAUAUGCAUUGCUCAAUGAUUACAUUACAUAUUUAUUAGAAAGAGGUUUUAAUAUUGGGCAUAUUGGUGAUCCUGUAACUUAUAAUCAAGCAUUGACAACUUUUGAGGCGGAUAAAUGGAUAGUUGCCAUGGAAGAUGAUAUGAAUUCUAUGGAGAAGAAUAAAGUUUGGGAUCUUGUUAAACUUUCGUCCAAAUGCUAAACCUAUAGAUAAAAAGUUGAUUUGCAAAAGUAAAUUAGAUUCAAAAUGAAAUGUUAAACGAAAGAAAGCAAUAUUGGUUGCAAAAGUUUCCCUUAACGAGAGGGUAUUGAUUAUGUUGAAACCUUCUCCCCUAUCUCGUCGAAAGAUUCUUUUCGAAUUAUUAUGGCACUUAUGGCACAUUAUGAUUUGGAGCUUCAUCAAAUGGAUGUUAAGACAGCAUUUUUGAAUGAAGAUCUUUUUGAAAUGGUUUACAUGACACAACCUGAAGGCUUUGUUGUGAAAGGAAAAGAAAACUUGGUAUGUAAGUUAAACAAAUCCUUAUAUGGUCUCAAGCAAGCAUCUCGACAGUGGUUUUUAAAGUUUGACAAAGUUGUGGCCUCUCUUGAUUUUGUUGAAAAUACAGUUGUUCAAUGCAUUUAUCUUAAAACCAGUUGAAGAAAUUUUAUUUUACUUGUACUGUAUGUUGAUGAUAUUUUGCUUGCUAGCAGUAAUUUAGAGUUGUUUCAUGAGACAAAGAAAAUGUUGUCUGCCAAUUUUAAGAUAAAAGAUCUUGAACAAGCCUCUUAUGUGCUUGGAUUGAAAUACAUCGUGAUAGGAUUCGUGGCUUGUUGGGACUUUUUCAGAAAGCUUAUAUACGACGCGUUCUAGAAAAGUUUAACAUGUAGAACUGUGCACCUGGUGAUGUACUUAUCAUAAAAGGAGAUAAGUUUAACAAAACUCAAUAUCCAAAGAAUGAGCCAGAAGGGAAAUCUAUGAAGAUGAUUACAUAUGCUAGUGCUAUGAGAGAACUUGAUGUAUGCUCAAGUUUGCACUAGACCGAAUAUAGCCUACGCAGUAAGUGUCCUUGGCAGAUUUCAGUCAAAUCCAGGAUAGGAGCAUUGGAAAGCAGUUAAGAAAGUUAUGAGAUACUUGAAGAAAACUGAAGAUUAUAUGCCUACAUUCCAGCGUUCAAAACAUCUUGAGGUGGUAGGAUAUUUAGAUUCUGAUUUUGCUGGAUGUCAAGAUGAUUUGAAAUUAACCUCAGGUUAUACAUUAGCUGAUGCAAUCUCUUGAAAAAGUGCUAAACAGACUCUAAUGGAAUCUAUUAUGCAAGCUCAAUUUGUGGCAUGUUAUGGGGCUAUAGUCCAAGCAAUUUGGUUAAAAAAUUUCAUCUCUGGCUUGAAAGUUGUUGAUUUCAUCUCAAGAUCGAUCACCAUCUACUGUGAUAACAAUGCAUCAGUGUUCUUUUCAAGGAAUAAUAAAAGUUCUAGUGGGUCAAAGCAUAUUGGCAUCAAAUAUUUGGUGGUUAGAGACAGAGUUAAAGAGGGCAGACAAAAAUAAAACAUAUCAAUACAGAGGCAAUGAUUAUAGAUUUUUUGACUAAGGGACUCAUUCCAAAAGUCAUUAUGACACAUAUUGCUAAUAUGGGUAUUGUGGAAACAUUUGAUGUUUUUGGUUAGUAGGAGUUAUUUAUGUAAGAGAACUACGUUUUGAGUUUGAUUCCUUUACGGGGUACGUAGGUAACCCAUAUAUUUUUUGAGUACAGCCCUUUUGGAUAAUAAAAUAUUUUCACCCUAUCUAUGAAUUUUCGAGUAUGCAUUUAACUUAUGUCUUUUAUUAUGAUAUUAUUGUAAUCUCGAGAUAUAACAGAUAAAGAUGUAAGAUGAGUCUCUUUUGGAGACAUGGUGCUUCGUUUUGAUAUAAAGUACUAUGAUGAUCGAUAUGAAUUAGCACAAUUUUUUUUAUCACAUUUGGUGCUAAAUUCAUACCACAUACUAUUACAUUGGUUGGAGGAUGGGAUCCAUGUCGAUAAGGAUGUUGACAUUUUUAGCUAUCGAAUGGUCUUACAUUGCUUAAUUGGUGUAAUGACUUUCAUAUUCAGUGUUAAUAUGCUUGUUGGACAAGAUCAUGUUGUGUAAGGUGUGGUCAUUUGAGCUAUACUUUUGUGGCCACCUAUGUAGUCUAACUCGGGUGUUAAAAAUUUUGUUAUAGCAAUCAAAUGUUUGCCUAAGUGGAAGAAAGUUGGAAUAAUUCCAAAUGUGGCUUCAAAUUCAAUUGUAAAUUUUACGAGUUAGAUGUAUGGUUCAUAGUGAUAUUUGUGAUUCGGCCAAAUUUAUUAAGUGAUCAAUUGGGUCUUUUAUACCUUAUGGGUUGUAAUUAAUAUGAUGUGGUAAUUUCAAGUAUGUUGGUCAAGAAUAAACCCUAAUUAGAGUUCUAGUCGUAAUGGGCUCAAUUAUUUUCUAUAUAAAGGCUAGGUCCUCUAUCCUCUCCAUAUUGUUUUUAUUAGCUUGCCCCAUUGACGGUUAAUACUUCAUAAGGAGAAAGGAGGGAAAUAUCUAGCUGUUAUUAUUCAUAUCAAUUAUGGCAUCCACAGGUAUGAGUUCGAACCAUCAAUUCAUAAUUAUAUGAUUCUUAAUUCUUAGCAUGAUUACUAUUAAAUUCAACAUUGGAGUCCUAGGUAAAGUUGUUAUGGAGAGAUCAAAACUAUGGACAGGGAAGAAAAGUCAAUGGCUUUUCACUAGCCUACUGCUAGCUAGUCGCUCAAGCAACAAGCGAAUUUUUGGAAGCAGAGAACUAACGCCCGCCUGUCGCUGAACUCUCGCUCGAGCGACAGGGCCAUUGCUCGCUACCACUUGAGUGACAAUGUUAUCCGAGCAAAACCUGUUUUUGUGUUUUAAAGUGUUUUGGACUCCUAUUCAUCUUCAACUUGGUUUCUAGGGUUUGGAAUGUCCCCUAUAAUAUCAGACUCUUUAUUCAGUUUAGUCAUUCCAGAUAUUGCUAAUAUUGUAUUUUUCUCUCGGUUGGUUGUCAAUUAAUAAAAUUACUCAAUUCCUCUACCAAUCUCUCUUCUUGCUUUAAUCUCACUCUUACUUGUGCAAUUAAUACUUCAUAUUUUGUCAUACUUAAUCUCCCCAUUUUCCCAACAAGUGGUAUCAAAGAUAUUAAUUGUGAUUUUGUUUGAGGUUCUUUGUUAGUGAUGGUAGCCAUGAAGAAUGAAAUUCCGCUUUUGGAUCACAAUAUAAGAUUUUUGUCGUGGCAAGUGAAGAUGCAAGUUGUAUUGGUGCAGAUGGAUUUGGAUGAUGCGUUGUUAGGAUUUGACAAGAUGCCCACAACGUGGACAACAGAGGAGAAGAAAUGGAAAGAUCAACAGACACUUUUAUAUAUUCAUUUUCAAUUAUCUAACAACAUUCUUGAGGACACCUUGAAGGAGAAGACAGUAACUGCAUUGAAGUUAGAGCAACUAUGCAUGACUAAAAAUCUGACAAGCAAGUUGCCCCUGAAGUAGAGGCUAUAUUCUUAUCACAUGCCAGAAGACUGAUUUUUGGAAGAUCUUCUGGCUGUUUUCAAGGAGAUCGAUGCUGAUUUGGAGAUAUUAGAGGUAAAAUAUGAUGAUGAAAAUUUGGCCUUAAUCCCGUUGUGUUCAUUGCCUGCGUCGUUUUCGUCAUUCAGAGACACGUUUUUGUACAAUUGUGAUACACUCACCAUUGAAGACUCUAUGAUGGCCUGUUUUCCAAGGAGAAGAUGAAUCAAACGAUUGGAUUUGAGUCCAAAGACGGAGAAGGUCUUGUGGUUCAUGGUGAUCGGUGAAGGGGUAAGUCGAGGUCGAGUUACAACAAUCUGGUUUGUUUUUAUUGCAAGAAGAAAUGAUACAUCAAGAGAAAUUACAAGAAAUUGAGAUUAAAGGUAAUUCAACUGCAAAUUAUGGGAAGUAAUCAAACACUUCGGACGAGGCCAAUAUAGCUAAGGACUAUUUAAGUGAUAUAGAUCUCCUGGUGAUUUUUGAUAUGGAAACCAACCUUGAAGAGGAGUGGAUUUUGAAUACAGCUUGUGCACCAUAUGUAUCCCAAUCGGGAUUUGUUUGAAACAUAUGAAACGAUGACGCAAGGUGUCGUUGUUAUUAAUAAAAUGGAUCUUGUCGAUUAGCUAUUAUUGGCGAGGUCAGAUUGAAGCUAUUGGAUGGAACAAUUAGAACACUUGGCCAGGUUUGAUGUGUUCAAGAUUUGAAGAAAAAUCUCAUCUCGCGAAGCACCCUUGAUUUAAUGAGUUCUCUAGAGGGAAUAGAGUUUUGAAAGUUUGGAAGGGUGUCUGUGUGGUACUGGAGAGGCAGAAGAAGGCGCAGUUAUACGUCGUGCAAUGUCACGUAGAAUUAGUAAAAAGUAUCAGUACAGGUUUAGAAUCGUCGUGGAUAUAUAGUUUGGUACAAUAUACGUGGAUCUCAUUUUGAAAGACCUAUUACUGGAUAAUUCAUGGGUAGAGCCAAAGAGUGUGGUGUGAACUAUACAAAUUACCAAUAACAUUGAUUAAACCUUUGGGAGUUGGCUCUGAGUCAUUAUAGAAGAACACUAUUCAGGAGAGUUGGGAGGAUAUAGAUAAUUCUGCUUUGCCAUCAUUGUCUGUGGUGCCAUCAUGAUCAACUGCUAGGGAAGGACCCAUUGAAUAUAGAUACGAGAAUGUUGACCUAGUUGCAUAUGCUUUCUGUGAUUUUGAAGGUGUCGAGACUAGUAAGGGGCCUUUAGUUAAAGCAUUUGAAGUUGAUUCUGCUACAGAGUGUGCUUCGACCUUGUUUGGUAAAUCUUGAAUUCCUUGUGGGAAUUUCGGAAACCCAAUGUUUGGGUUCAGGUGUCAUUUGUGAAUAUUGUGGAAUAGAAAGAGAAAUUUUUUGUGUGAUUGGAAAAAGUUUGGAUUUGGUUGAAUUUUGAAGUGAAGAAAUUUUUGGAGCUUCAUUCGUUACACUGAAAUUUGUGUCAAAGUGGAGAUGUGUUGAUUGUGACCAAAAUUCUAGUGGGUAUUGGAGCUAUAGUUAAAGUGGCCAUGGAGAGAUCAAAAUUAUGGAACGGGAAGAAAAGUCGUUGGAGUUUUGAUAGCCUACCAUUAGCUAGUCGCUCAAGCAAUAGGCAAAUUUUUGGAAGCAAAUAAUUGUUGUCUGCCUAUCGCUGAACUCUCGCUCGACCGAUAAGGCCGUCGCUCAAUGUGGUUCGAGCAUUAGUAUUAUCCGAGUAAAAUCUAUUUUCGUUUUUCCACACAUUUUGGACUUUUAUUCAUCUUUAACUUAGUUUCUAGGAUUUGGGACACCCCCUAUAAAUAUUAGACUCUUCAUUCAGUUUAGUCAUUCUGGAUAUUGCUGAUAUUGUAUUUUCUCUCGGUUGGUUGUCAAGUAAUAAAAUUACUCAGUUCCUCUGCCAAUCUCCAUUCUUGCUUUAAUCUUAUUCUUGCUCAUGCAAUCAAUACUUCAUAUUGUGUCAUACUUAACCUCUCAAUUUUCCCAACAAGUGGUAUUAGAGAUAUUAAUUGUGAUUUUGUUUGAGGAUCUUUGUUAGUGAUGGCAGUCAUGAAGAAUGAAAUUUCGCUUUUGGAUCUUAAUCUAAGAUUUUUAUUGUAGCAAGUGAAGAUGCGAGCUGUAUUGGCGCAGAUGAAUUUGGAUAAUGCGUUGUUGGGAUUUGACAAGACGCCCACAACUUGGACAAUAGAUAAGAAAAAAUGGAAAGAUCAAAAGGCACUUCAACUAUCUAACAACAUUCUUGAGGACGUCUUGAAGGAGAUGACAGUAGCUGCAUUGUGGUUGAAGUUGGAGCAACUAUACAUGACUAAACAUUUGACAAGCAAGUUGCACCUGAAGUAGAGACUAUAUUCUUAUCACAUGCCAAAAGACUGAUUUUUAGAAGAUCAUCUGGCUGUGUUCAAGGAGAUCGUUGCUGAUUUGGAGAUAUUAGAGGUAAAAUAUGAUGAAAAAGAUUUUGCCUUAAUCCUGUUGUGUUCGUUACCUGCGUCGUUUUCGUUAUUCAGAGACAUGAUUUUGUACAGUUGCGACACACUCACCAUUGAAGACGUGUAUAGUGGUCGGUUUUCCUAGGAGAAGAUGAAGCAUCCAGUUAGAUUUGGGUCCAGAGAUAGAGAAUGUCUUGUGGUUCAUGGUGAUUGGCGAAGAGGUAUGUCAAGGUCGAGCUACAGCAAUCUGGUAUGUUUUUAUUGCAAGAAGAAAGGACACAUCACGAGAAAUUGCAAGAAAUUGAGAGCAAAGAGAAUUCAACUGCAAAUUAUGGAAAACAAUCAAACACUUCGGAUGAGGCCAAUAUAGCUGGGGACCAUUUGAAUGAUGCAGAUUUUUUGGUUAUUUUUGACAUGGAAUCCAAACCUGACGAUGAGUGGAUUUUGAAUACAGCUUGUGCGUAUCAUAUGUAUCCCAAUCGGGAUUUGUUUGAAACAUAUAAAACGAUGACGUAAGGUGUUGUCGAGGAUAACAAUGGAUCUUGUCGGGUAGCCAUUAUUGGCGAGAUCAUAUUGAAACUAUUGGAUGGAACAAUUAAAACUCUUGGCCAGGUUUGACAUGUUCCAGAUUUGAAGAAAAAUCUCAUCUCGCUAAACACCCUUGAGUCAAAGGGUUAUGAGUUCUCUAGAAGAUAUAAGGUUUUGAAGGUCUGGAAGGGUGUCUGUGUGGUACUGGAGGGUGCGAAAGAAGGCCCGAUUGUACAUCGUGUAAUGUCACACAGAAUUAGUAAAAAAUCAUUAGUACAGGUUUAAUACCGUGGUGGAUGUACAGUUUGGUAUAGUACAGGUGGAUCUCGUUGUGAAAGACCUAUUACUGGAUAAUUCAUGGGUAGAGCCAAAGAGUGUGGUGUGAACUAUACAAGUUACCAAUAACAUUGAUUAAACCUUUGGGAGUUGACUUUGAGUCAUUAUUGAAGAACACUACUCAGGAGAGAUUGGAGGAUAUAAAUAAUUUCACUUUGUCGUCAUUGUCUGCGGUGCUAUCGUGUUCAAUUGCUAGGGAAUGACCCAAUAAAGAUAGAUAUGAGAAUGUUGACCUAGUUUCAUAUGCUUUAUGUGAUUUUGAAGGUAUCGAGACUAACAAGGGGCCUUCAGUUAAAGCAUUUGAAGUUGAUUCUUCUAUAGGGCGUGCUUCGUCCUUGUUUGGUAAAUCUUGAAUUCCUUGUGGGAAUUUCGGAGACCCGAUGUUUGGGUUCAGGUAUCAUUUGUGGAUAUUUUGGAAUAGGGAGAGUAAUUUUUUUGUGUGAUUGGAGAAAGUUUGGAUUUGGUUGAAGAGUUCAGUCUAUUUUGUUGCAAAUAAACUUAUUUUUUCAAGUGGAGAAAUUUUUCGAUCUUCGUUCGUUACACCGAAAUUUGUGUCAAGAUAGGAUGCAUUGCUUGUGACCAAAAUUCUAGUUGGUAUUGGAGUCAUAGUUAAAGUGGUCAUGGAGAGAUCAAAAUUAUGGACCGGGAAGAAAAGUCGCUGAAUUUUCGAUAGCCUACCACUAGUUGGUCGCUCGAGCAACAGACAAAUUUUUGGAAGCAAAGAACUGUUGCCUACUUGUCGCUGAACUCUCACUCGAGUGACAGUAUUAUCCGAGCAAAACCUGUUUUCGUGUUUUAACGCGUUUUGGACUCUUAUUCAUUUUCAACUUGGUUUCUAAGGUUUGGGACGCCCACUAUAAAUAUUAGAUUUUUCAUUCAGUUUAGUCAUUCCAGAUAUUGUUAAUAUUGUAUUUUCUCUCUAUUGGUUGUCAAUUAAUAAAAUUACUCGAUCAAUCUGUCAAUCUCUCUUCUUGCUUUAAUCUUGUUCUCGCUUGUACGAUCAAUACUUCAUAUUGUGUCAUACUUAACCUCCCCGUUUUCCCCACAAUAUGAAUAAUGAGUUCAUGGAAACGGCUUCCUAAUUUAAUUUUCCUAAUUUGUUCCCGACUCCAGUUUUUAUUCAUUCUAAAUGUCAAUAUAAUGGUAGUUAUACAUGAAGUGAUAGCAUGUAGUAGAUGGACCUUGAUACCCUCCUUCUGCGCGCAUGGUAUAUAGAUUAGAUACCGAGUUGGAUGAAAUUUACUGCAAUGUGCAAUUCCAUUUACCGGUCAUCAAUGGGAUGUUUGACUCCCAUUUUCUCCAAAAUAUAUUUUUCCUCUCUACUUUUCAACCACGCAUUUUUUGUUAAAAUAAUAUUACAUGCAAAUAAAAAAAUUUUUUUUUUUUUUAACCACACAUUUUUCAUCAAUCUACUAUUCCAAAAUAUAUUCACUAAAAAAAAUAGGGCUCAAACACACCUUGUUGGAAAAGUGUAAACUGUUGGAGGGACUAAUGGUCUACGUUUUGUCAAGUUAAAACCCUGAAAACGUACAUUUUAUCCUUCGGACCCGGAAAUUAGUUUCAUUAUAAUGGAUUCAAAUUAGAAAGAAAAUAAUAAGUUUUAUAAAUGGUACCUGUUGGGACACGGAAAGUCCAUUAGAAAGAAAAUAAUAAGUUUUAUAAAUGGUACCUGUUGGGACACGGAAACACAAGUCCUUUCCGUGUCCCCACAAAAGAAAUUUCAGAAUGAUCAAUGCUUGGAAAUUACCUAACAAUUGUGGAAAACUUUUUCAUUGGUGAUCUAGACUGCAACGAUAGACUUUGAAAAAUUGACUUGUCACCACCAAUAAUUGUACCAGUAUGUUCAGUACGCAAAUGAUACUGAUAUUAUAAUAAAUAUAAUUUAAAUUUACUUUUUCUUCUUUACUAUGUCAAGUACUAAUUAAUCUUUCAAUUGAAACAUAAAGUUCAAAAAAUAAUAAAAAUAAAAUUAAAAAAGGAAUCAGCCAAAAAAAAUUUACGGGCAUUGGUUUAUAGUUUAUCAAUCCAAGUGCCGGAAUUGGGUCGAUUUGCUUUGAAUACUAAUAUAACAAAAGCUUAAGGCUUCAAGCUGAGCACAUGAUUUGUUAAUUUCUUAAAUACAGAUUAAGAGUAAAAUUGGGAAAAAAAUCUCUAAUAAUAUACUUUUUCAUUCGAAAUAUAAUAAAACAUACAAUACCAUUCGUCCGAGUUUCAAUGAAACCAAGCCUAUUUGACAAGUUAUUUUAAAUUCCACCAAUCAAAUGUCCUAGACUCAUGAAAAAUAAUAGACGCAAAUAUGAAAUAAUAAAUAGUCUAUUAUUGCUAUUGUUGUAUAUUUGUAUAACAAAUUCUAUGCACUAUUUCCUAGUGAUAAAUAAUAAAAAUUAUGUUUUCAGUCAGAACAAUUAAUAUGCAAAAAUUGUUGAUGUCAAUUUGUGAAUAAGAGAAAAAAUAUAAUAUAUACACACACAAACACACACGUGCGUGUGUGUUGUUCAUGAUGAUGAUAAUUUUAAAAAAAUAUUCUUUAUUUAAAGGAAUAUUUAAAUUUAUAAUGGUAUUAUAUAUAUUUUUUCCGAUAUGUUAUAAAGUAAAUAUUUGUUAUCCAUGUCAUCCACUUUGUGUGUUAGUUUGUGUUAUGAUUAUUGAUGUAGUGAAGAAUGAUGGGACGGUUUGAUAAGUUCAGUUGUUCGACUUGACUCGUUGAAGCUCGGCUCAAGGACGACUUGAGACGAGCUGGAGCAAGAGCCAAGCGGAGUGCUCGUUUGAUGAGGGGAGUUGCUUGUCAAGCUUGGAUUUAAUUAAUUAAAGAAUAUAUAGGACUGAAAUUGAUAUGAUUAUUCUAUACUUCGGAGAGAGACCAAUAUUCAAAACAAGUAAAAGAGGAGAAGGACAUGAGACUUUCAAAUUGUAAGAUAAAUGAAAAGCUUACCCCACUCCAAACCCUAACCAGUCCCACCCUCGUUACGUGUUUUGAAUUAUAAAACGUGUGCGAAUUUCCUACACCAUACUAUUCAGAGCCUGUUUGGGAGUGACUUUGAGAAUUAAUUUUUUGACCUUUAGGAGAAAAGUGGGGUCCACCUGUGAGAGAAGAAGUCAAAUAUGACGACUGGAAUAGUAAAAUAACGGUCAAAAAAUCAAUUUUUUGAGUGAAAAAAUCGGGCCCAAACAGCCCCUCAAUUGAUAUCCCACAAAAGGUUGAACCGUUUCAAACCCACUUAAUUUAGAUGCAGUUAAGCACUACCAAAUAACAUGUAUACAACCUCUUAUUUUCUUUGUAGUUUUAAGUAAAAAUCCUGGUUAUUUUAAAAUGUACAUUUUUAGUUCAUCAACUUACAAAAUGUAGACCAUUAAUCCCUCCACCAGUCUAUGCUUUUCAAACCAACAUAAAUGAUGACUAGGUAAAUGAAAUUGCACGUGGUAGUAAAUUUCGUUCAACUCAGUAUCUAAGCAAUCUGGUUGGUUCCUGAACUGUAUAGCGUGCACGCAAGAGGGUACCAAGGUUAGUCUUGUACAUGAUAUUAUUUUGACAUUUAAAACGAACAGAAAUUUGAGUUAGGAAUUGGGAUUUUAAAAUAGCAUUAAGGUUUAUCAAACAUAUAAGGAAAAUUAAAUUAGAAAGUGAUGAGUGCAUUUUUGCUCAUUCAUCCAUGAUAUUAACUGGAUAAAUAAUUUCGAAAUGAGUGAAUUUCUAUCUGAUUUAGUGUAAAAAUGGUUAUGGUCGGUAAAAGUUGACUUGAAGGCUUUCGCAGUAGCAGAAGAAGAAUUUUAGAGCUAAUUUAAAGUUAGUUCGAAGCAAUUAAAUACUAACUAGAUUGAAAGGAGCUGGUAAGAAGUAUUAGAGGAGCAAUCGGAAGAAAAAUCUCAAGUUUCGAGAGUGAAAUUCAACUUUUGAAAAGUUUGUGUACUGAUUUUCACAUUUUUGAAACUUGAGACGGACGAAACUCGAAUGAUUAUGAAGAUUCAAUAACCAAUAUGAAAGCUUUUGAAGUGGCAGGCAGAAUUAAGUAUUCCUUUUAAUGGUUUUUGAUUUUAUUGAAUUGGAUAAAAUUAUGAAUUAUUCUACUUGUAUAUAUAAUCUAUACAGAUAAAAUGAUGUUAAUUUGUACACAUUCAUAUAUCAAACUACUUGCACAGAUUUUCCGUGCAGGCAGAGUUCUAAAACUAUUGAAUUUUCUUCCACUUCUUCGAUCAUUUCUUGGCUUCUUCAAAAUUAAUAAGUUCGUAAUUUUGUCUUCAUCAUUUUUUCUCAUUUUCUACCUCAAUUAGGUUGGUUGUGCGUAUCUAAAGUCCUUUGCAAAUUGGUAAACUAUAAAUAUGAAUUGAAUGUUUGCCAUGAAGUAUCGAAAUUGAUUGAAUAAUAAAGUUGACAAGUUUUUAAUCUAUUUUUUCUCAUUUAAUACAACUUUUCCCCCCCUUUCAAUUUACCUUAAUUAAGGAAAAAAAAAAUCAUUAAAUAAAAUUGGCCCAUUAAUCAGAUUGUGGUUCUUGUUCAAAGAAGAAAGUUCACAUUGAAAUGUCUUGUGACAAUAUUCUAGACGGACAGGGCCAAAAUUUGUGGGUCAGGGAAAAAGAUUUUUUGAAAUGAUAUGGUGGGGAUUGAUGCGACGAUUUUCCAUAUCAAAUAAUGUUUAAAUUAUUAGAAUGGUAUAUAUAUACUUGUACUGAACUAUAGCACCAAGUAUUCUCUCCAUAUGUAUAUUGCAAACACUAUAUUAAUGUAUAUAGCAACGAGUUCUGGGAAAUGGCUUCAUAAUUUUAUUUUCUUAAUCUGUCUUAUAAACCUUGUUGCUAUUGUCAAAUCCCAGUUCCCAACUCAAAUUUUUAUUUAUUCUGAUUGUCCGGACAAUGUUGGCACUGGUAUGUACACAAGAAAUAGCACGUACGAAAGAAACCUUAAGACUUCUCUCUCCUCCGUUCCGCCAAAUAUCGACGCCAAUGGAUUCUACAACGCCUCUACGGGAGAAAAUCCUGAUACAGUCAACAUCAUUGCGCUCUGUAGAGCUGAUCUUCAGCCUUCUCAGUGUCGAGAUUAUGUGGAAAAUGCUACUGCCGAAAUCUUACUGAGGUGUCCUUAUAAAAAACAAGCAAUCUUAUGGCACGAAUUUUGUAUGGUACGAUACUCCAACGAGGCUAUCUUUGGAAUUCUUGCAAAUUCCCCAAUGAGUUGGGGUCAUAGUGGGGAAAAUGUCACAAAUACAGAAGUCUUUUACUGGCAGUUGAACGUCCUGUUGAACAGCCUUCACGACCAUGCCGCUUUUAACAGCUCGCCGAAGAAGUUUGCUGCUUCCACUCGGACUGUGAAUGAUACGAAUCAUCCGUCAAUUUCUGCAUUUGAACAGUGCACACCUGAUAUAACCCCGGAAGAAUGUGGUGAUUGCUUAAACAAAUCUGCCCAACAGAUUCGAGAAUGCUGUGAGGGUGCAAGAGGAGUUAGAGUCCUUACUCCUAGUUGCUAUCUUCGUUUCGAAACUGAUCCGGAUCCAUUCUACAACGCAUCGAUGGUUGAAGCAGUACCCCAGCCACCAACGCCACCAAUGCCACCGCCACCGUCACCGCAGUCGCCGGGUAAGGACUUUGUCUACAGAACCCUUUUUUUUUUUUUUUUGCCACAGAUAUUUUCCGAUUAUAAGACCAUUUGUCACGAUGUUAUUAUCCUAAUAAUAAGUUGGCCCCAACCAUUAGUAGUGGAUGAUUUCUGUAAUUUUAGAUUGAUUAAGCUAAUAUAACAAACGAUUGAGGACCAACUUCUUCAAUUCUAAAGCUUGAGUUGCUUAAUUAAUGAUUUUUAAGAAUAAAGUCAAUUAUGUGUAAAUUCAUUAUUAGUUUGGCAAAUGAAAACAAUCCAUCAUUUGAAAAGAAUUUAUGAACAGUUAACUUAUAAAUAAAUAUAAAUUGGUGAUGGAUAAUAGAAUAAUGCUUGUAGGUCAUUUAAAAUAAAGUUCGUUCAUUUAUAAAUGACUAGUUUUCUAAAAGCGCUGGCAUGUUUUAUAAAUUGGUAGUUUUGUAAAUCAUUUAUAAAUAAAUUAGCCAAAUGAACGCUUAAUGACGGAGGUAGUUGAUAAUUUGUGUCCAAAUUAAAAUUAGAUUUAUUUAAACCAUUUCAACAUUGGUGUCUGUUUCUUGUUUAUAAGCUAUCUUAGAACCUAGAUGAGGUUAUUAUUUCCAUUAAAACAAAGAUUAAAUUAAAACUAGUAUUAACACGAUUUAUUUUUGAUUUUGCAGGAAAGGGGAAAAAUACAACUCGAACUAUCAUUAUUGUCAUCGUUCCAAUUGUUGUGUGUCUAAUACUUGCUCUUUGCAUUGGCAUCUACUUAAAAAUGAAAAAAAGGCGUAAACCAUGGGAAAAAGUUGAUCGUAAGUUUAUGUUUCAAAUUUUACGUAGAUCCACAUCUAUUGAUGAUAUCUUUUAAUUACAAUUUUCUUGAAAUGUUACUUUAUACUUUGAUCAAGUUGACGAGGAUAUCAGUACUGUGGAAUCCCUACAAUAUGACUUUGGUACGAUAAGAGUUGCAACAAACAAUUUCUCUGAAGCUAACAAGUUGGGGCAAGGUGGAUUUGGUGUUGUUUACAAGGUUAAGUAUUUAAUUGAACUGUUAGGUGUCAUACAGAUUAACACUACUAGGAAGUUCAUGUAAUUUUCUCUUGUGAUUUAAUCUCAGGGAAGACUCCCAAAUGAAAAAGAUAUCGCAGUAAAAAGGUUGUCCCAUGACUCAGGGCAAGGUGACUUGGAAUUUAAGAAUGAGGUCUUGCUAGUAGCGAGACUUCAACACAGGAAUCUGGUUAGGCUCUUGGGUUUCUCUGUUGAAGGAAAUGAAAGACUACUUAUAUACGAAUGGGUUCAAAAUGGGAGUUUGGAUCGCCUCAUAUUUGGUAAAAUUUUAUUAUUAUUUUUUUAAGUAAAUCAUAUUUCAAAAUUCUUAAAGCAAUCGAGUUGCUCUGUAUGGCUAAUUAAUUAUAGCAGAAUUAUCAUUAUUGGAGCAUAAUUAUCGUUACUGUAGAUUCAAACAAUCCAUGUUUGGAUUGGGAAAAGCGUUAUAUAAUCAUUGGCGGUGUUGCUAAGGGACUUCUUUAUCUACAUGAAGAUUCUCGCCUCCGAAUCAUUCACCGAGAUCUCAAAGCUAGCAAUGUUUUGUUAGAUGGAGAGAUGAAUCCCAAAAUUUCAGACUUUGGCAUGGCAAGAUUAUUUGUCCCGAACGAAACUCAGCACAGCACUAGCAGAAUAGUAGGAACAUAGUAAGCAGUUUACAAAAUGCUUGUCUCAUAGUAUCACUUAGUUUAUUUCUACGCAAUGGUUGGUAUGAAAAGAAAAUAUGAAGUUAUACACAAACAAAACAUAUAUGGUCAUGAUAAUAACUAAACAUAGCUAGAUGAUUAUUUUAUUAAACUCGUGGCUAAUGAUAUACUUACAAAUUGACCAUCACAGUGGAUACAUGGCACCUGAGUAUGCAUUGCAUGGACACUUCUCUGUUAAAUCAGAUGUCUAUAGCUUUGGUGUCCUAAUUUUGGAAAUCAUAAGUGGUCAGAAAACUUAUAAUUUUCAGAAUGGGGAGAGUGGGGAUGACCUCAUAAGUUGUGUAAGUACAAUUAUGAUAAAAUUUGGUCUUAGUCAAUAUGAAGCCACCAAGUAAUAUAUUUAUUGUAUUUAAACAUUUCAAUUUUCACAGGUUUGGAAAAAUUGGCACCAAGAAACGGUUGCAAAUAUAAU
rnacentral:lncRNA from 1 species